CUCCUCUGAUUCCAACACUUUCGGAGUUAUCGCUACGACGUGUUCUUGAGCUUCAGAGGAGAAACUCGCAAGACUUUUACCGACCACCUCUACACAGCCUUGAACAACGCAGGAUUUCUUACGUUCCGAGACGACGACGAACUUGAGAGAGGAGAAGAUAUAAAGCCAGGACUGCAGAACGCGAUCCAGCAGUCACGAACUUCUGUUGUCGUGUUUUCGAAAGAUUACGCUUCAUCCAGGUGGUGUCUUGAUGAGCUUGUGCUGAUCCUUGAACGCAAGAGGACCACCUCGGACCAUGUUGUUUUACCAGUCUUCUACGAUGUCGAUCCAUCCCACGUGAGGAAGCAGACAGGAAGUGUUGGAAAAGCAUUUGCUAGAAGCCAGAAAAAUCAGUCGUCGGAAAAGGUGGAGGGAUGGAGGAAGGCACUUGCAGAGAUUGCAGACCUAGCAGGCAUGGUCUUAAAAAAUCAAGCUGAUGGGUAACUUUCAUUAUCUCCAUUUCUCCUCUCUUUCUUUGGUCAAUUUGAUGUAUGAUCCGUAGUGACCUAGAUUUUUAUAUAUUUAUUAAUUCAAUCUCAGCAGUGAAUAAUAAUCCCAAUUCAGGUCAACUUAAAGAAAUCAUACUCAACUCAACUUAAGGAUUAGUCAUUUUCCAUGUUAAUCUACUGGUUUCCAGUUGCUUAAAUAUUUUUGAAAGCUGGUGUGGAAAAAAGUUAGGAUGUGAUCUGUAAUGUAUUUGUCUAUGGUUCGUAUAAAUUAUGCGUUCUAUUCCUUUUUUAGAAAAACUAAUGAAAAAGACUAGAAAAUUUUGAGCUAUAACGAUAAGGACAAAAUAAAGGGUAAAGUGGAUAGUAUUAAGAUUGACUUUUUAGAGUAAAAAUGUGGUUUUUCCGUUAAAGUGAACAAUACCGGGUGCUUUUUGUUAAAGUUCCUCCUUUUUUUUUUCAAUUUAAUUGUCAGCGGUCCUUUUUUUUUUCUUAUUUAAACAAAGGCAAUCAAUAUAUGUUUUAAUUAUCUAAUUUUCCCAAUUCAUUUUUCAUUUUGUUUGCAAAUUCGUAGGUAUGAGUCAACGUUUAUAAAAAACAUUGUUAAAGUGAUAGGAGACAAGUUAAGUCGCAUGCCAUUGAGUGUUGAACCAAAAUUGAUUGGAAUUCAAUCUCAAGCCGAACGCAUCAAUUUGUGGUUACAAGAUGGAUCAAGUCAUGUUGGUAUAUUUGUUGUGUAUGGCAUGUCUGGAAUAGGGAAGACAACCAUUGCAAAACAUGUUUACAAUUCAAACUUUGGAAGCUUUCAAGGAAGUAGUUUCAUUGAAAAUAUCAAAGAAACAGCAGAUCGACCAAAUGGCUUAGUUCAAAUACAAAUGCAACUUCUUUGUGAUAUUUUGAACGGCAGAGAAGUGAAAAUACAUAGUGUUAGUGAGGGAAUAAUUAAGAUUGAAAGGGCCAUAAGCACUAGAAGAGUUCUACUUGUUCUUGAUGAUGUUGACCAAAUGGACCAAUUCGAUGCAAUCCUAAGGAUGAAGGAUCAGUUUUAUCUUGGAAGUAAGAUACUAAUAACAACUAGGCGUGAAAGGUUGCUAAAGGCAGAUCAAGUUACAGAGGUGCACAGAGUUCGGACUUUGUAUUACAAUGAAUCAUUAAAGCUUUUCAGUUGGCAUGCUUUUGGCCAGGACCAUCCCAUAGAAGAAUACAUGGAGCACUCAAAACAACUAGUGCAACAUAGCAGCGGACUUCCCUUAGCUCUAAAAGUUUUGGGUUCUUCUUUAUCAGGGGAAAGUAUAGCUGUAUGGGAAAGUGCAUUGGAGAAGCUAAAAGUUAUUCCUGAUGGUGAAAUCAUGAGUAAACUAAGAAUAAGCUAUGAAAGUUUAAAAGAUGACCAUGACCAGAAAUUAUUCCUCCACAUUGCUUGUUUCCUAAUAGGAAGGAACAAAAGCUACAUUGUUAGAAUACUCGAUGGAUGUGAUUUCUAUACAAUCAUUGGCAUUCAAAAUCUCAUUGAUAGAUGCUUGGUGACACUUGAUAAAUACGGCAAGGUGGAAAUGCAUGACAUGAUUCGUGCUAUGGGAAGAGAAAUUGUUCGCCAAGAAUCAGAAGAGCCUGAGGAACGGAGUAGAUUAUGGCGCCAUAAGGAUUCUUUCCAAGUAUUGAGGAAAAAGAAUGUAAGAAACAUGCCUUUUAUGUCUAUAUAUGUAUUCCUUCUUGUGAAAAUUAUGCAUACUAAUGUCUUUUUUUUUCCUUUAGGGUACAAAAAAAAUCCAAGGUCUUGUCCUGGAUAUGCGUAAUCAUCCUGCAAACAGUCCAAUAAACACAAAUGAGAUAGUCUUGGAAACCAAUGCAUUUGCAAGGAUGCGUAAUUUACAACUACUCCAUCUUAGUCAUGUACGACUGGAUGGAUGUUAUGCACUUUUCCCUACAGGAUUAAGAUGGUUGUGUUGGCUUGAAUUUCCUUUGGAUUCUAUACCAAUUGAUUUUCCUUUGGAGAACGUAAUUGUUCUUGAAAUGCAAUACAGUAGCUUGAGACAAGUAUGCAAAGGAACAAAAGUAUGUUACUCUAUGCAUUUCAAUUCAUUUUCCUUAUUGUGUUAGUUUUUUAUGGGGUGUGAUAUCCACACACCCUUUUUUACUUGUCUCACACCUUUUGGGUUUUCGACCGUCGGAUUGGAUGAAUUGAAGAAGAUCAACGGACAGAAAUUAACAAUGGGUGUGUGAGAAGUAAAAAGUGGUGUGUGGAUAGCACACCCCUUUUUUAUUUGUUGACCAACUCCGUGUGCUAAAAUGAACUACUAUGUUUUCUUUAAUUCGAUGACUAAUUUCUUAUGUUAGAUACUUAUUUCAUUGUUCUUUUUUCUUUUAUUUAUUUUUCCUCUGUUUCCACAGUUUCUUCCAUCGUUGAAGAUCCUUGACGUCAGCCAUUCUCAUGGCCUUAGUGAAACCAUUGACUUCUCACUUUUCCCCAAUCUAGAGGAACUGAUUCUUGUAGGUUGCACAAGCCUGAAGAAUGUUCAUGAAUCCAUUGGAAACUUGGAGAGACUCGUGUACUUGAAUAUGAAGGAUUGCAAGAAUCUUAGGAAGCUUCCAAAGAACAUGUGCAUGCUUAAAUCACUUGAAACACUCAUUUUAUCUGAUUGCUCAAAUCUUGUUGAGUUUCCAGUAGAGAUGAUGAAGAACAUGGAGUCUCUGAAAGUUCUUGAGACAGAUGGAAUUCUAAUAGGUGAAUUGAGGCCAGAAAGAAGUUCAACCAUCUUGAGUUCUUUUCCAUGCUCUUUAGUAGAGUUAAGUAUGAAGAGGUGCAAUCUUUCUGAUGAUGUCCUUCCUACGGAUUUAAGUAAUCUAUCCUACUUGCGAAGACUACAUUUAGAUGAGAAUCCAAUUUGCAGUCUGCCAGUUUUCAUCAAAGGUUUGAGGAGGAUCGAUGAACUCUCUUUCGAGGGUUGUGAUAGGCUCGAAUCGCUUGUGGGGUUGCCGGAAUUACACCAAGGGCUAAGUAUAGUCGGAUGCAUAUCAUUAAAAAAAAUAACUUUUCAUUCCCCUGAGCGGUUGUGUCCAAUUUUUUUUUGUGACAACUGGAAUCUUGUUGAGUGGGAGCGCUGUUACAAGUUAGAGCCUAUUGAUAGAGUUGAUGUGGAAAUGAUCAAACUUUUGGGCUUGUGCAACUUGGAAUCCAUGCCAGCUGUUCGAAUGAAUUAUCUACACUCAUACAAGGAUCGAAAAGAGGUCCCCGUCCAGGUACGCCUCUCUUUCUCUCUCACAUGAGUCUUAAAUAUAUAAUGGGAAAUAAAUGACUGAGUAAUGUUGUGAUGACUGUGGCAAAUACAUAGGAACUGUGUCAACGUGGUAUAUUCAGAACGUUUUUUGUUGGGAAUGAGGUUCCAGGCCAGUUCAGCUAUAUAAGUACCAAGUCCUCGAUAUCUUUUAUUGUCCCUUUACUACAUGCUAGUCACAGAAUUCGAGGCUUGAACAUCUUUGCUACCUAUGCAAAGAAAAAUUCAAAUAAUUAUUCUACUAUACCUAUUAUUGGUCCAAUAAUGAUCAAAGUGAGAAACAAGAGUAAGGGUCUGAAGUGGAUCUAUAGCCCAGAGUUCCGUGGAAUUCCAGGUGACGGAGAAGAUAUGAUAUGGUUGAGCCAUUGUAAGAUGGAGUAAAACAAUAUUACAAUGUGGAGAUGAAGUGGUGGUUUCGGUAAUAUCCGGACGACGUGACUUGUUUUGGGUAAAGGAGUUUGGUGUCCAGCUUGUGCAAGAGCACCAAGACAGGAUGAGUACCCAACACAACAAAUCAGAUCCUAAUUAUGCAUUUGUUAUCGGUGGAGAUUUGAAGAUGUGGGAGUGCAGUUUGGGAUUAUACCUCAUUGGCGGUUAUGAAGGAGGAGAUAUUGACCGCAUUGAUAUCCUCACCAUGGACUCUGAUGAAGAAGACACAAGUAUGUUGUGUUGUUGUAUUGCGUUGAAUUAUACUUCAUCCAAACACUUCCAGGUGUGUCCGUAUUCAUUUCAAAAACGUUUCCAAUAAAUUUUAUGUUAUUUGUUUGUUUUUCAGACAAAGAAGGGCAAGAGGAUGAACCUGAUUACACAAUUGCAAAGACGAGGGCUGCUAGCAAUAACUGCAGCCUGAGAGGCUGGAAGGUGCGCCUCACAGCUGUCGGCUUCUUUUUCGCGCUGGCUCUAGUAGGUUGGCCCUCCCAAAAAAAGAAGCGACACUCGUCCACAAGCCCACCAUGAGUUUGUAAUUUGACUUGAUAUAGAUAUAUCUUUGCAUUCCUUGCUCUCAAGAUGUUUUCUACCUUCAAAACUUCAGGUUCAGAGCUAAGCACUCUUAACCGCUUGAGAUAUAAAAGCCCCUUGCAACUAGAUAACGAAGUCCAAAUGUGUUCAACGCCAUCAAAUAUAGCAUAAAAUACAUCUGGCAUUAGCGAUACUAGCAGAGUAGCAGUAAAUAAGUAAAACAAAAAAAAUGCUUCUACACAUGGUAAGGGAAGGACCUUGACAUGGUAAGGAGGCUCUUCUGUCAUUACCAAAGUUCAAAUCUGUUGAUACCUUAUCUUGCAACUCUUAGAGGCUCUUCUGUCAACAAUCUUCCUCUUCUAAGCAUGCAACUUUUUAAAGAAUAAAGGGCUUGUCUGUGCGAAUAAUCAAGUUCCAAGUCCACUAUUGAAAAUCAUGUUCAUCCAUCCUACACAUCCAAAGCAGCAAACUAACUAGGAUACCAGGUUGGGAGGAUACAAUCAUUAACAAUUUCAAACGCUUUAAAUGCAAUCUGAAUACAUGGCAAGUAGGGGUAAACAUGUGAACAGAAAAAUCAAUGAACAUAAUCAAAUCGAAUAAGUCAAUUUUUGACACGCCCCGACCCUGAUAUUUCCCAAAUACCAGGACCGACACGUGCUGGCCGACAUCCGGGGGUGACGAAAGCCAUUAAUUGAUACAAAAGCUAAGAAUAAGAAAUAAAUAAGGGUUAGAAAUUUAAAAUACAAAGAAUUUAUAAUUUAGGAACGUGCUCAGAGCAUACAACUAAACCUAAUCACUAAAAGGAAUUAAGAUAAAAUUUAAUGAAUAAAGGAGUGAGUCCUACAUUCGAGAGGAUCCGAAGAUGCUGCUGCGGAAGUGCCUUCACGCCGGGAUUAGGUGCCUUGAUUCUAAGUCCUGAAUGGGGGCGCAAAACAAAAGGUGAGUGGACCAAGUUCAUAUAUAUAUAUAUAAUAAUAAUAAUAAUAAUAAUAAUAAUAAUAAUAAUAAUAAUAAUAAUAAUAAAACAGUUAUCAAUGUACUAACCCCCAAAGUUUAUAUAAUGAAAACUACUAGCAUAAUAAGUGAUGGAUUUAAUAAAAAUCCUAGCAUGCCAAAUAUAUCUCAAAAGUCACAUCGCGGAAAUCAAAACAGUAAACGCAUCAUAAAACGUCUCGUAAACGCGAUGUGCUGCUAGAAAGAUCACUGAAUAAAUAUAACUCCCGGCCCAAUGCCUGCACCUCAGUCUCUGUGCCCGUAGCCAGAGAUAACUCCCUCCCGGCCCAAUGCCUGUCUCCGUGUCCCUCAGCCUUUCGCUAGGGAUUAUUUCUUCCGGCCCACAUGCCAACACCAGAUCCUCGCCCCAGGCGGCAUAGUGUCUACUAGUUACGCACAAAAUGUUACGCCUCUCGUAAAUACCACUUCAUAGUGUAGGUUACCGAUCAUCGUCUACACUAUAAAGAGGGGUUCAAAAACAUGUUCUAGCAUCCUAUCGUCAUCUAUCAGAUAAUCUACCAGUUCAUGGUUUUUAUAGAAAAUACGAAAUAUUAAAAUAUAGCUCAAUAUAGACUAACAAUUAAUUCCUCACCAAAACACGAGACGAUAAUCAAUAUAUUAAAUCAUCAGGCUUCACAUAAAUCCAAUUGUAAAUCCGUAGGCAUGCUAAUCAUUUAUGUAAUUGAAUUAUUAAAUCAUGUAAUUUUAGAAGGGGUCCACUCACAAAUAUUCCUUAGCAGAAGAGUCGCACGAAUAAGGAUUAAGAAUUUCUCCACUAGCAACAUUACCUAAGCACAAAAUGGUAAUAAUUAAAUAAAAGGAUUUUCUAAAAGAUUGAGCUUGAAUUAAAUAAAAUAAAGGAAUUGGGUUUGGAUGGAUUUAGGUUUUAAAGGGUUUUAGGAACCUAGGGUUUUUGGGUUAAAAUGGUUUUAGGGUGGAAAAAUGAUGGUUUGGGCUUAAGCCCAAAUACACCCACACUACAAUUACACACACAUGCACGGCAUGCACAUGCAUGCAUAGCAUGCAUAUACACACACGCACACAUGCACUAACUCACACACACACACACGGCCCGCAGGCCUUAAACCCAAAAAGGAAGACUGGGCUUUAAGCCCCAAUUUAAAAGGACUAGGCCCUAAGGCCCUUAGGUGUUGGGUUUUAAAAAGAACAUAACCAAAAUUAAAAACUGAACGGGCCACGGUACUGGGCUGGCUUCAAAACGGGUUAGGCCCGUGGGGAAAUUUGGGUGGCCUGAAGGCCUGGGUGUUUUCACGGAAGGGAAAGCCGGAGCUGUAGCUCCGGUAGGUGACGUCCUAGCAAACUAGGGUUCAAAACCAACAUUAAAAUGGAGAGGAGAACGAGAGGAGUAAUUCUAUACCAUUGCUUCGUUGUUGAAUGGACGUGUGUGACCGGAAAAAGCCCACGAAGGCCAGUGUUCGCCAUAAAGUUUGGGGGUUCUUUUCUUCUGUGGUGGCUCCGCCUUAACAUUGAGAAAACAACAUAAAUCACCACACAACCACCAACAACAAGAAGUUCUUUGAGGAAAAUAGAUCGAGGUCUCACCUAACCGAAAAAUAAAAGGAAGUCGCAGGAGAUUCGUUUCUCCGUUUGGGCCGACUUUAAUGCAGCGGGGACAGGAAAAUCAGGGCAAUGAUGGUGACUGGGCUGCUGGUCUUGUGCACAACUUGCAACGCAGGUUGUUUGGGUUGCUCACGGUGCAGCAGAAAAGAGAGAUGAGAGGGUGUUGAGCGAGAGAGAGAGAAGGAGAAAGAGGGAAAGAGGAAAAGGAGAGGGUCACGGGGGAUACAAAAAUAAAAGGGAUGGGCUCCUGGCUCACCAAUUAAGAAUUAAAAACCAUUUUUAAAUAAAAGGGGGGGAUUUAACAAUUUUGGCUAGAUUGAAAUGAAAAAAACAAGGAAAUGCUUUGUGUAUCGAUUUGUUUAUGAAGGAAAUAAAACAUGUGGUUACCUUUGUCUUCCUCUGCCAUUUGUCUAUCGAUUUGUUUCCGAAAGUGGCUAUUCUACAAGAUACAACAUGACAUGUCUUAGUUAGACCAAGUAACCGGCACGAAAAUGCUUUCUGAAGUAAGAAUCUGAACUCAAGAGCUUUAUGCCAGAGAGACUUAAGAAAAAUAAAAAAAAAAACAUAGAAAAUGGGUAAGAAUAAACAUCGAUCAGACAAUAAUUCUCGUAUAAAUCAUUUUUCAACUUUAAAGUGUGGCUUAAAAAGAAGCUUUAAACAAGUAGCAAUAAUUUCAUAUUGAAAAAUAAAACCUAUUUCAUGGAUAUUACAAGAGCCAUUAUUUUGAAAAACACACCUUUUGGUUUUUCACUGCUUGACUUUUAAGAAGAUCUUCGUCCUUGUGACGAUUCUGAUUCUUUAAAAUAUCUCUGCGAUGGAUUCUGAUUCUUUAAAAUAUCUCUGCGACGGAAUAAACAAAACCAAUCUAGGCCAAAAUUGACUUAUUCGAUUUGAUUAUGUUCACUGAUUUUUCUAUUCACAUUUUACCCCUACUUGCCAUAUAGUUUUCGGGGUGUUAGAGCAUAGUUCUCUUUUCUUUACACGCAAGUUUCAAUUUUAUUUAACGUAAAUUAAGAGACCAUUUGAUAAUCAUUUCGUUUUCAGUUUAAAAAAUAUAAAAAACUAAAUGGAGUUUUCAAAAUUUAGCCUAGAGUUUUUGCUUUUGAUUUUCAAUUUUAAUUUUUUUUAAACAACUGAAAACUAAAAAUAGUUACAAAAAGAAAUUUUCAGUUUUUAAUUUAAAAAAAAAAAGUAAAAACUGAAAACUCUAAACUGUAGACUAAAAAUUCAAAAAGUGAAAUCGAAAUGGGCUCUCAACAAAAUUGAAAAAAGACUGGGCUGAUUUAGUGAAUUCAAAGCAGAGCUUAUUAACGCUACGAGGCCCAAUGGAUCCGUAUAAAUAUUUUUUGUUAUUUUUUUUUAACUAACGAUAUUAUCUACGUGAACGUAACCUCACAAUUGGUUAGCAAUAAUGUAUUUCAAAUUUGUUUUUGGAAAAAAUCGAACAUAAGACCUCUCAAAUGAAGAGGAAUACCACUAAGUGGCUCGGUAUUUUAUUUUAUAUUUUAAGGAAAAAGAAAGAAAGCAAUGAACAGGUGUACAUAAACUAAACACAAAAGGUAAUGAAAUGAAGAGGAGUGGGAGACUUAACGUUUAAUUCAAGACAAAGAAAGGUAAUCGCACCACGACGGCGGCGACGUGGCGGUCAUUUAACAAAAUAACAGACAAAUCAACCUCCAGAUCAAGUCUUGAAGCACAACUCUGAAAAAUCGAGACUACCUACCGCUGAGCUCCUACCAACCGUUGAUGGAGGCAAUCAGGAAGCUCAGAGAUCAGGUCGCCAAGCAACAGCAGUUACUCUCUCUCUCUUGUUUGAUUCCGAAUUUAUAUUUCUGUAUGGAUUUUGAUAUGAACAUAACUGCGUUGAUUGCGAGAUACUGAGAUUGCUUAAUGAAAUAAUAUUUAUAUAAUUGUUCGAGUUGAAUUGGAUCGAUUCGAGUAGAAUUUCACUAUUUCUGAGCUGUUUGGGGCUCUGUUGGAGUGCAAUGUUGCUGAAUUUCUGAAAUUUUGAGCUAGGCGUUGCUAAUUACUUAUCGAUUUUGGGAAUUAAUUGGAUGCUUAAUUUUUACAUUUUCGGAAAACUUCAAGCGAAAAUGGCAUAUAAUUCAACGUUCUAUGCUUCAUUAAUGCAUAGGAGUUAGUCGAAGCUUUAUCGAGUUUGCUUUUGAUUAUUUUGUGAACACCGUCAGGCUGUGUUCAAACAAUUUUCUGGUGGCGUAUAUGGGGGAUCGGAUAAUGUUGCCUCGGAUGAAAAUGAAUUUCAACAGCAUCAGAAACUCGAGAAGCUGUACAUAUCAACUCGUGCUGCCAAGGUUGCUACUGUUAGACAAAUAGAAGUAUUAGUUGAUUGUAAUCCUAAUUAUAUUUGUAUUCCUAAUUUGUAUCCCUAACUUGUAGGGUUAAUACCUUGGUGUGCAAGGAAUGUGAUUGUAUAUAUUGGUAUUCACGUAUUAAUGAAAGAUACUUUUCAUCCACAUAUUCUUUUUCUACAUGGUAUACAGAGCAGGUUUUAAACCCUAGCUUUUUCAAAUUUUUUUUUUGGCAGCCAUCUCUGCCGUUUCUUUCUUUCACCAUGGGAGACUCUUCUUCUGAUGGUAACACUAACCCGUUUUAUCUUCACCAUUCCGACCAUCCCAAUCUUGUUCUUGUCUCCAAGAGGUUAAACGGAGAUAACUACACGACCUGGGCACGCGGGAUGCACAUCUCCUUAAGCGCCAAGAAUAAACUUGGUUUUAUUACGAGAGACAUUGAAGAACCUUCUGCUUCCAAGGACCCUGAUGCUCAUGCUUCCUGGAGGCGCUGCAACGAUAUGAUCCUUUCCUGGAUCCUUUCUUCCCUGGAGCCUGAUCUUGCCGACUCGGUUCUUUUUUCCACUACUCCCAAGGCUGUUUGGGAUGACCUGUGUGAGCGUUUCUCCCAAAGCAACGCUCCCCGUAUCUUCCAUCUGAAUCGUGAAAUUGCCACCAUCUCCCAAGGGUCAUCCUCUGUCUCUGCGUACUUCACUCGCCUGAAAGGGCUUUGGGACGAGCUCGCCUCCUAUAAUGAUGCCUAUUCUUGUUCUUGUGGCACCAAACAUGAUCGUCAGCACCUGAUGCAAUUUCUUAUGGGUCUUAACGAUUCGUUUGCCGCCGUCCGGGACCAAAUUCUUUUGAUGAACCCUUUGCCCACUGUCCGCCAGGCCUGUUCAUCUGUUUCUCAGGCUGAAAAGCAGCGCGCCAUAGGUUCUUCACGUCCUGCCGACCCCCCCCGCUGCCAUGGUUGUACGGAGCUCUUCUCGAUCUUCGUCCGACCGACCCCCUCUCCAUUGCACCUAUUGUGAUUAUGACUUCCACACCCGUGACACUUGCCAUAAACUGCAUGGGUAUCCCGUUGGCCAUCCCCUUCAUGGUCAGCCGUGGAGACCACCUCACCGCCAUUCGACUUCUACUGGUUCUGCGCGCAGCAGUGGAUCUGCUUCUUCUGGCCGUAGCAGCGUCGCUGCCUCUUCUGCCCGCAGCACUAAUGGUGCUUCUCGGUCCCCCUUAGGCCCCAGCGGCCCAUCACAACCUGGUCCAUCCGCCCAUCAUGUGAACAGUCAGCCCACUCUGCAUGAAUUGCAGGUUGCCAUGCCUACUCUUUUUGCCGAGCAACAUUCCCGCCUUCUUGCCGCUCUCAAUGACACCUCGCCACCUCCUCCUCAGGCCCAUGCCGUUACCAGUACUGAUUUUGCCCAAGGUUUGUUACCCGUGGCUUCUUGUCAUGGUCAAUGGAUCAUUGACAGCGGCGCCACAAAUCAUAUCACUUCUUCUGCUUCGUGUUUGGUUAAUACUUCUACGUCGCACUUGCCACCCGUUUCUCUGCCUAGUGGUGCCACCGCUCCCAUUACUUUAACUGGAACUAUUCGUUUAAAUUCCUCGAUUGAUUUGGACGAUGUUUUAUGUGUCCCUAACUUUAAAGUGGACCUUUUAUCGGUUGGUAAGCUUACAGAUGGUUUAUCGUGUUCCAUAACCUUUUUUCCUUCUUGGUGUGUUUUGCAGGACUUGGUUUCGAAGGCGACGAUUGGUGUGGGUAAGCGACGUGGCGACCUUUAUUACCUUGUGGCCCUUGCAUCCUCUCUCCCCACCCGUCAACCUCUAUGCAACAUCAUCACUAUACCUUCUCCCUUAUGGCAUCGGCGUCUUGGUCACCUUUCUUCUCGCAGUCUGCAAGUUCUAGCAUCUACUUUCCUUAAUUGUCCCUUAGAUUCUAGUCAUGUUUGUGAUGUUUGUCCUCUGGCCAAACAAACCCGUCAACCUUUUGGUUUAAGUUCAAUUUCAACAACUUUUCCUUUUGCUUUAAUUCAUUGUGAUAUUUGGGGUUCGAAUCGUCAAUCUUCCCUUACUGGCGCUCAUUAUUUUUUGACUAUUGUGGAUGAUUUUUCCCGCUUUACGUGGGUAUUUCUCAUGCAACAUAAAUAUGAUACUCAACCCAUCAUCAAACAAUUUUUUGCAUAUGUUCAAACCCAAUUUCAUACAAAGGUUCAAAGCAUUCGUACCGAUAAUGGCGGAGAAUUUAUUUCUCUUCGCAAUUUUUUUUCUGAUAAUGGGGUUCUUUUUCAAACUUCAUGUGUCUACACCCCCAACAAAAUGGCGUUGUUGAAUGCAAACAUAGGCACCUUCUUGAAGCUCGCGCCCUUCGAUUUCAAUCCCAUCUUCCACUCAAAUUUUGGGGUGAAUGUGUCCUUACCGCUGCCUAUACCAUCAAUCGUCUCCCUACUCGACUUUUGCAUAAUAAAUCUCCUUUUGAGGUCCUCCAUACUAAACCCCCAUCCUAUGACCACUUCCGUGUCUUCGGUUGUCUCGCUUAUGCCACUUCCAUCAACCCUACCACUAAAUUUUCCCCUCGGGCCCAUCGAUGCACCUUCAUUGGUUAUCCUCAUGGUCAAAAAGCUUACAAAUUAUAUGACUUAGAAACCCACCGCACCUUCACCAGUCGCGAUGUAAUUUUUCAUGAAAACAUUUUUCCUUUUGCUGCCACGCCCCCACCUACACCACCCAUCACCCCUCCUCUGUCUUUUCCACCUUCCCAAGAUAUUUCUUACCCACCCUCUCCCCGACCCACGUGUCCUUUCUCUCAUCCCUCACCUGCCACAUCACCUAUCCAUCCGUCCCCUAUUCCAGAUACCACCUCUCCACCCCACCCCAUUUCCAUCUCACCUUUCCCGUCCCCCACUAAUACCCUUUCCCAACCGGCCCCACCUAUUCCCUCUUCCACCGACAACCCCACUCCUUCCCCCACCCUUACGGUCCCCCCUCCUCAGUCACUACCCACUGCCAAUCCUUCUACCCGCACUUCUUCCCGCACCCACAACCCUCCCCAAUAUUUAAAGGACUAUGUUUGCUCGCAGGUGAUUCUGCCUCCACACCCUUCGUCGACUUCGCAGCCCGGUUCUGUCAAAGGUACGCGAUAUCCUCUUUGUAACUUUAUUUCUUACCACCGCAUCUCUCCACCCCAUCUUUCAUAUAUUUACUCCGUCAGUCGGAGUUUGGAGCCAUCUUCUUUUGCAGAGGCUGCUCGUGAUCCUAAUUGGCGUCGGGCCAUGGCUGACGAACUUGAGGCUUUACAUGCCAAUGGUACUUGGACAUUGACUCCCUUGCCUCAUGGCAAAGUUCCUAUUGCUUGUAAGUGGGUGUACAAACUGAAGCAUAACUCUGACGGUUCCAUAGAGCGUUAUAAAGCUCGCUCGGUUGCUAAGGGCUUCACUCAAGCUGCUGGUAUUGAUUAUCAUGACACAUUUUCUCCUACUGCUAAGAUGAUUACAGUACGUUGUCUUCUUGCCCUUGCUGCUAGUCAGUCUUGGUCUCUUCAUCAGCUCGAUGUUAAUAAUGCUUUCUUGCAUGGUGAUUUACAUGAGGAAAUUUAUAUGUCUCCUCCUCCUGGUCUUCGGCGACAGGGGGAGAAUCUUGUGUGUCGCCUUCACAAAUCUCUUUACGGUCUCAAGCAAGCUUCUCGCCAAUGGUUUGCCAAGUUCACUAGUGCCAUUAUUUCUGCUGGUUUUCAACAGUCCAAAGCUGAUUAUUCACUGUUCACCAGAAAGUCCGGUAAUUCCUUCACAGCCUUACUCAUUUAUGUGGAUGAUAUUGUGAUUACAGGCAACGACGUCAGUGCCAUCAAUGCUUUGAAAUCUUUUCUCCAUGACCAUUUUCGGAUAAAAGACCUUGGUGAUUUAAAAUAUUUUUUGGGUAUUGAGGUUUCUCGAUCCCAACGUGGGAUUUAUAUUUCACAGCGUAAGUAUGCAUUAGAGAUUCUCAAGGAUUAUGGUUUUCUGGGAGCACGGCCCAUCGCUUUUCCUAUGGAUGAUACUAAAUUAUCUGAUAAAGGAGAACUUCUCAAAGAUCCUGAAAAGUAUCGGCGUUUAAUAGGACGGCUAAUCUACCUUACUAUAACUCGGCCGGAUAUCACUUAUUCCGUGCAUGUUUUGAGUCGGUUUAUGCACGAGCCACGUAUACCUCAUAUGGAUGCUGCACUUCGUGUUGUUCGUUAUUUGAAGUCUACGCCAGGUCAAGGCUUAUUAUUUAGUUCUGACAAUCAAACCAAAUUAACUGCUUUCUGUGACUCUGAUUGGGCAGGUUGUCCUGUCACUCGCCGUUCGACUACUGGGUAUUGUGUAUUCUUGGGAAAUUCUUUGAUUUCGUGGCGGACAAAGCGUCAGAAAACUGUUUCACUUUCUUCAGCUGAGGCAGAAUACAGGGCUAUGGCAGGUGCUUGUUGUGAGUUAAUUUGGCUUCGUUUUUUGUUGAAGGAUUUGAACAUUCCUUUAGGAAGUCCUUCCGUCUUGUUUUGCGAUAAUCAAGCAGCGUUACAUAUAGCAGCUAAUCCUGUUUUUCAUGAACGAACUCGUCAUAUUGAGAUGGAUUGUCACUUUAUACGAGAUAAGAUUGCAGAUGGAACUAUAGCAACCAAGUUUGUGGGUACGGCGCACCAAUUGGCAGAUUUGUUCACCAAGCCUCUCGGGAAGGACAAGUUUUCGACUAUGUUACGCAAGUUGGGAGUUCUUGACAUCCACUCUCCAACUUGAGGGGGAGUGUUAGACAAAUAGAAGUAUUAGUUGAUUGUAAUCCUAAUUAUAUUUGUAUUCCUAAUUUGUAUCCCUAACUUGUAGGGUUAAUACCUUGGUGUGCAAGGAAUGUGAUUGUAUAUAUUGGUAUUCACGUAUUAAUGAAAGAUACUUUUCAUCCACAUAUUCUUUUUCUACAGCUACGCUUAUUUUUUGUCUGUGCUUUAAACGAGCAUCACGUUAGUUGUGUUACCUAUCGUUUUUUGCUUCUUCUUUAACAGCAUUACCAAAAGGAAAUUGUCCACGGAGUGGAAGGUUACAUUGUGGCCGGUUCAAAUGCGUUGUCUUUUCUUGUGAGUUUGGAUAUGAAUUCAUGUUGGUAUUAUCAGUUGGUAUACAUAAUACUUUUUCAACAGGUACCAAGGUAUCAGAAGAUAGCAGGAAAUAUGGUUCUGAAAAGACUUGCACCAGUGGUAACACAUUGUCGAAAGCUGCACUGAGUUCUGGAAGAGCUCGGGCCCAAAUGGAAAAAGAGUGCUGAGUUCUACUUAAAGCCCUUGGCACACAGGUUUAAGUCAAAUUAUUACUAACAAAUGGCUCGUUAAGUAAAAAUCAAAUAUUGCCAGGGCCGGCUUCACACAAAUGGAAUUUCAACUGACUAAUUUUCGUGUGCAUUUGAUCAUUUCGAAAGAAAUUUACAGUAAAAAUUGUUUCCAUUUUCACAUGUGGUUGAAGAACUGGACUACUUUUUGUGUUAUUAUGCAUCAUAUGACAAACUGGUUCACCAUUUCUUUCUAUAGGUUUGCAUAAUAACUCUUUCUGUACUUAUCAAUUUGCCUUUGUAGGUUGUAGAGCCUUUAAGAGCAAUGAUAGUGGGAGCACCCUUGGAGGAUGCUCGACAUCUAGCUCAACGAUAUGCUAGAAUGCGGCAAGAAGCUGAUGCUCAGGUACAUGCAGUUUCUUCUGUUUCCUGCCAAUUUUGUACUACAGUGAUUUUGUAUGUUACAUGGUGAUCGUACAUUUUCUCGGUUAACUUUUUUUGUUUUCUUUUCAAAGUGUUUGGGUCUAGUUGAUGAGUUUUGUUACAUGGUGAUCGUACAUUUCCUACCAAUUUUACACUACAGUGAUUUUAUAUGUUACAGAGAUCGAGUAGCAAAGCGCAGUGCAAAAAUUGCCUACUAGUAAGUGGGCCUAGUUGAUGAGUUUUGUAAGUCUUUCUGUACUCAUUUCUCUUAUUGUUUGUCCUGGUUUAAGAGUCUGAGGAUUUUCUCAGUGGUGAGUUUUACCUUGUUAAAUCCUACAUCAUGUGUACACAUGUUAUUUGUCUUUUUAAUUGCAAAUGUGUAGAAUAAUCUUUCACUUAUUUUCUUGUAGUGAACCCUAUCUUAGACAUUCAUCAACAUAUAGAGUUUAUGACAGAGGACUUUGCUACUAUAUUAUUCAGUGCAUUGAUUAAUUUGUAAAGUGCUCAUUUAUCCUAAUUAUAAAAUAUAAUAUGUACAAGACCUUAAUGUGGCCAUAUCCUUUAUUUCUACCAUUCUUAUCAACCGGAUGGGGAGAGAUUGUCUUCGUCUCACAAACCCAUAAUGUGGCAAUCGUCCAUAAGAAAAUCUUUGUACAAUUAAAAGUGCAAUUAAAAGAUGAGCAACGAUCAAUAUAAUUGUUAUUUAUAAAAUCACACAUAAAACAAGAAGUAAUCUUUUCUUUUUCUUUUCAUCUCUGCCACUAGCGGCCGGCCAUGACUUAAAGAAACGUUUUUUUGGGUCAAUGGAUGGGAACGACCCAUUUUAUAAUUGUUUGUAAAUUUUUCUGGAAGUAGAUGGAAAUGACCCUUGCAUUGCACCUAGCAAACACCAGUUUUUUUGUUUGAACAUCGAUCCACAUCAAUGGCUCUUGUGAGAACAUCUCCAGGAACCUCCUCUGAUUCCAACGCUUUUCAGAGUUAUCGCUACGAUGCGUUCUUGAGCUUCAGAGGCGAAGAAACUCGCAAGACUUUUACCGACCACCUCUACACAGCCUUGAACAAUGCAGGAUUUCUUACAUUCCGAGACGAUGAUGAACUUGAGAGAGGAGAAGAUAUAAAGCCAGGACUGCUGAAAGCGAUCCAGCAGUCACAAACUUCUGUUGUCGUGUUUUCGAAAGAUUACGCGUCAUCCAGGUGGUGUCUUGAUGAGCUUGUGCUGAUCCUUGAACGCAAGAGGACCACCUCGGACCAUGUAGUUUUACCAGUCUUCUACGAUGUCGAUCCGUCCCACGUGAGGAAGCAGGCAGGAAGUGUUGGAAAAGCAUUUGCUAGAAGCCAGAAAAAUCAGUCGUCGGAAAAGGUGGAGGGAUGGAGGAAGGCACUUGCAGAGAUUGCAGACCUAGCAGGCAUGGUCUUACAAAAUCAAGCUGAUGGGUAACUUUCAUUAUCUCCAUUUCUUUUCUCUUUCUUGGGUUAAUUUGAUGUAUGAUCCGUAGUGACCAAGAAUUUAAUAUAUUUAUUAAUUCAAUCUCCAUUUAGGUCAACUUAAAGAAAUCACACUCAACUCAACUUAAGGAUUAGUCAUUUUCCAUGUUAAUCUACUGGUUUCCAGUUGCUUAAAUAUUUUUGAAAGCUGGUGUGGAAAAAACUUAGGAUGUGAUCUGUAAUGUAUUUGUCUAUAGUUCGUAUAAAUUAUGCGUUGUAUUCCUUUUUUAGGAAAACUAAUAAAAAAGUCUUUAAAACUUUGAGUUUUAACGAUAAGGACAAAAUAAAGGGUAAAGCGAAUAGUAUCAGGAUUGACUUUUUAGUGUAAAAAUGUGGUUUUUCGUUAAAAUGAACAGUACCAGAAGUUUUUCGUUAAAGUUCCCUUUUUUUUCAAUUUAAUUUUGUCAGCAUUCCUCUUUUUUUUCUUAUUUAAACAAAGGCAAUCAACAUAUGUUUUAAUUAUCUAAUUUCCCCAAUUCAUUUUUCAUUUUGUUUGCAAAUUCUUAGGUACGAGUCAAAGUUUAUCAAAAAAAUUGUUAAAGUGAUAGGAGACAAGUUAAGUCGCACGCCGUUGAGUGUUGAACCAAAAUUGAUUGGAAUUCAAUCUCAAGCCAAACGCAUCAAUUUGUGGUUACAAGAUGGAUCAAGUGAUGUUGGUAUAUUUGUUGUGUAUGGCAUAGGGAAGACAACCAUUGCAAAACAUGUUUACAAUUCAAACUUUAGAAGCUUUCAAGGAAGUAAUUUCAUUGAAAAUAUCAAAGAAACAGCAGAUGGACCAAAUGGCUUAGUCCAAAUACAAAUGCAACUUCUUUGUGAUAUUUUGAACGGCAGAGAAGUGAAAAUACAGUGUUAGUGAGGGAAUAAUUAAGAUUGAAAGGGCCAUAAGCUCUAGAAGAGUUCUACUUGUUCUUGAAGAUGUUGACCAAAUGGACCAAUUAGAUGCAAUCCUAAGGAUGAAAGAUCAGUUUUAUCCGGGAAGUAAGAUACUAAUAACAACUAGGCGUGAAAGGUUGCUAAAGGCAGAUCAAGUUACAGAGGUGCACAGAGUUCAAACUUUGGAUUACAAUGGAUCAUUAAAGCUUUUCAGUUGGCAUGCUUUUGGCCAGGACCAUCCCAUAGAAGAAUACAUGGAGCACUCAAAACAGCUAGUGCAACAUAGCGGCGGACUUCCAUUAGCUCUAAAAGUUUUGGGUUCUUCUUUAUCAGGGGAAAGUAUAGGUCUAUGGGAAAGUGCAUUGGAGAAGCUAAAAGUUAUUCCUGAUGCUGAAAUCAUGAAUAAGCUAUGAAUAAGCUAUGAAAGUUUAAAAGAUGACCAUGACCGGAAAUUAUUCCUCCACAUUGCUUGUUUCCUAAUAGGAAGGAACAAAAGCUACAUUGUUAGAAUAUUCGAUGGAUGUGAUUUCUAUACAAUCAUUGGCAUUCAAAAUCUUAUUGAUAGAUGCUUGGUGACACUUGAUGAAAACGGCAAGGUGAAAAUGCAUGACAUGAUUCGUGCUAUGGGAAGAGAAAUUGUUCGUCAAGAAUCAGAAGAGCCUGAGAAACGUAGUAGAUUAUGGCGCCAUAAGGAUUCUUUCCAAGUAUUGAGGAAAAAGAAUGUAAGAAACAUGCCUUUUAUGUCUAUAUAUGUAUUUCUUCUUGUGAAAAUUAUGCAUAUUAAUGUCUCUUUUUUUUUCCUUUAGGGUACAAAAAAAAUCCAAGGUCUUGUCCUGGAUAUGCGUAACCAUCCAACAAACAGUCCAAUAAACACAAAUGAGAUAGUCUUGGAAACCAAUGCAUUUGCAAGGAUGUGCAAUUUACAACUACUCCAUCUUAGUCAUGUACGACUGGAUGGAUGUUAUGCAGAUUUCCCUACAGGAUUAAGAUGGUUGUGUUGGCUUGAAUUUCCUUUGGAUUCUAUACCAAUUGAUUUUCCUUUGGAGAACGUAAUUGUUCUUGAAAUGCAAUACAGUAGCUUGAGACAAGUAUGCAAAGGAACAAAAGUAUGUUACUCUAUGCAUUUCAAUUCAUUUUCCUUAUUUUGUUAGUUUUUUAUUUGUCGACCAACUCCAUGUGUUAAAAUGAACUACUAUGUUUUCUUUAAUUCGAUGACUAAUUUGUUAUAUUAGAUACUUAUUUCAUUCUUCUUUUUUUUUUCUUUUUUUUCCCUCUGUUUCCACAGUUUCUUCCAUCAUUGAAGAUCCUUGACGUCAGCCAUUCUCAUGGCCUUAGUGAAACCAUUGACUUCUCACUUUUCCCCAAUCUAGAGGAACUGAUUCUUGUAGAUUGCACAAGCUUGAAGAAUGUUCAUGAAUCCAUUGGAAACCUGGAGAGACUCGUGUACUUGAAUAUGAAGGAUUGCAAGAAUCUUAGGAUGUUUCCGAAGAACAUGUGUAUGCUUAAAUCACUUGAAACCCUCAUUUUAUCUGGUUGCUCAAAUCUUGAUGAGUUUCCAGUGGAGAUGAUGAAGAAGAUGGAGUCUCUGAAAGUUCUUGAGACAGAUGGAAUUCCAAUAAGUGAAUUGUGGCAAGAAAGAAGUUCAACUAUCUUGAGUUCUUUUCCAUGCUUUUUAGUAGAGUUAAGUCUGAAGGGGUGCAAUCUUUCUGAUGAUGUCCUUCCUACGGAUUUAAGUAAUCUAUCCCUCUUGCGAAAACUACAUUUAGAUGAGAAUCCAAUUUGCAGUCUGCCAGUUUUCAUUAAAGGUUUGAAAAGGCUCGAUGAACUCUCUUUCAAGGGUUGUGAUAGGCUCGAAUCGCUUGUGGGGUUGCCGGAAGUACACCAAAUUAUAAUUGUAGCCGAAUGCAUAUCAUUAAAAAAAAUAACAUCUCAUUCCCCUAAGGAAUUGUGUUCAAUAUGUACGGAUCAGAACUUGAAUCUUUUUGAGUGCUCAUGGUGUUACAAAAUAGAGCUUAUUGAUACAGUUGAUGUGGAAAUGAUCAAACUUUUGGGCUUGUGCAACUUGGAAUCCAUGCCAGCUGUUCGAAUGCAUUAUCCAAAAGAGUUCCAACAGGAACUUGAAACUUUCAGAGAGGUCCCAGUCCAGGUGCGCCUCUCUUUCUCUCUCUCUCUCUCUCUCUUAAGUCUUAAAUAUAUAAAAUGGGAAAGAAAUGACUGACUAAUGUUGUGAUGACUAUGGCAAAUACAUAGGGACUGUAUCAUCAUGGUAUAUUCAGCACCUUUUUUGUUGGGAAUGAUGUUUCAGGCCGGUUCAGCUUUAAAAGUACCAAGUCAUCGAUAUCUUUUAUUGUCCCUUUACUACAUGCUAGUCACAGAAUUCGAGGCUUGAACAUCUUUGCUACCUAUGCAAAGGAAAAUUGGAAUUUUCUUAAUGAUUCUAGUAUGGCUCCAAUAACUAUCAAAGUGAGAAACAAGCAAGGGUCUGGAGUGGAUCUACAGCCCAUUAUUCCAUGGUGUCCCAGGUCGUGGAGAAGAUAUGAUAUGGUUGAGCCAUUGGAAGAUGGAGAAUAAAACAAUAUUUCAAUGUGGAGAUGAAGUGGUGGUUUGGGUAAUAAUCGAACCACGUGACUUUUGGGUAAAGGAGUUUGGUGUCGAGCUUGUGCAAGAGCACCAAGACAAGAUGAGUACCCAACACAACACCAAAUCAGAUUAUCCAUUUAUUAUCGGUGGAUAUUCGCGGAAUUGGACGAGCAGACGGAGAAUAUACUUCCAUGGCAAUUAUAGCGCAGAUGAUAUUGACGAGAUUGAUAUGCUCACCAUGGACUCUGAUGAAGAAGACACAAGUAUGUUGUGUUGUUGUAUUGCAUUGAAUUAUACUCCAUCCAAACACUUCCAGGUGUGUUCGUAUUCAUUUCAAAAAGUUUCCAAUAAAUUUUAUGUUAUUUGUAUGUUUUUCAGACAAAGAAGGGCAAGAAGAUGAACCUGAUUACAUAGUUGCAAAGACGAGGGCUGCUAGCAAUAACUGCAGCCUGAGAGGCUGGAAGGUGCGCCUUAUAGCUGUCGGCUUCUUUUUCGCACUUGCUCUAGUAGGUUGGUCCUCCAUCUCCCAAAAAAAGAAGCGACACAUGUCCACAAGCCCACCAUGAGUUUGUAAUUUGACUUGAUAUAGAUAUGUCUUUGCAUUCCUUGCUGUCAAGAUGUUUUCUACCUUCAAAAUUUCAGGUUCAGAGCUAAGUACUCUUAACCGUUUGAGAUAUAAAAAUCCCUUGCAACUAGAUACCGAAGUUCAAAUGUGUUCAACGCCAUCAAAUAUAGCAUAAAAUGCAUCCAGCAUUAGCGAUACUAGCAGAGUAGCAGUAAAUAAGUAAAACAAAAAAAAUGCUUCUACACAUGGUAAGGGAAGGACUUUGACAUAGGUAUUUUUUUUUUGGGGGGGGGGGUGGGUGGGGAUUAUGUCGGCACAGGGGAAAACAAAAACAUCCUAUCUGCUUAUAAAUAACAAAGUUACAAAUCUUAAUUGUCGUUUACAACAAAAUCAUUCUUAAAGACUCGGCUCCCCAUUGAAAUUGUGUAAAUUGCAUAAAUAUCAAUACAACAGAUAUUAGACAGAAUAAUAUAUAUCAAAUAAAUUAACAACAGGCAAUUUCUUAGCCUGAGAUCCAAGGACUUUACAACUGGUUCAGCCUUGCAUCGCUACUAAACUACAGAAUCAAUCUAAGCAAGCACAUUGGCUCCAGUCAAUUGAUUUAAAAGAGUACUCUUGCCAGCAUUGGUGUACCCAACCUUGUUUCUCAGCCCAACAUGCACAAAAUCAACACCGUGUAGAAAACUAAAAACCACCACCAAAUAAAUGUGAAUUCGACAACGUCAACGUAUUUACUUACCAAAGAUACUAUAGGUACCGAAAGGUGGUGAUUACGAUACUGCUUUCUAUGCUUUCGGACAGAUUCUAACUCCUUGACAACACGAUCUAGUAUUACAGACAUUUUUACUGUCAAAUCAAUUUCCAGACAAAAAUCUACGGUUGUCAAGGAAGUAUAGGAGGAACGGCCAUAGUCUUUGGAGCCAUGAAAUUUACUGUCUUCUCAUGAACAUUGUACCUCCAAAAGCAUGAUGCAAUAAGCAUUCAAUAAUCUGACCUAGUUUGCUCAACAGAUGCUCCAAGAUAUUCCAAAACAAAGUCAUAGCAUUUUCACAUAGGGAACCGAAGAAUCUAUUGAUACCUUAUCUUGCAACUCUUAAGAGGCUCUUCUGUCAACAAUCUUCCUCUUCUAAGCAUGCAACUUUUUAAAGAAUAAAAGGUUUGUCUCUGCGAAUAAUCAAGUUCCAAGCCCACUAUUGAAAAUCAUGUUCAUCCACUCUACACUUCCAAAGCAGCAAACUAACAAUUUCAAAAGCUUUAAAUGCAAUCUGAAUACAUGGCAAGUAGGGGUAAACAUGUGAACAGAAAAAUCAGUGAACAUAAUCAAAUCGAAUAAGUCAAUUUUGGCCGAGAUUGAAAUGAAAAAAACAAGGAAAUGCUUUGUCUAUCGAUUUGUUUAUGAAAAUGGCUAUUCUACAAGAUACAGCAUGACAGGUCUUAGCUAGAACAAGUAACCGGCAUGGAAAUGCUUUAUGAAGCAAGAAUAUGAACUCAAGAGCUUUGUGCCAGAGAGACUUCAGAAAAAUGAAAAAAAAAAAUAUAAAAUAUGGGUAAGAAUAAACAUCGAUCAGACAAUAAUUCACGUAUAAAUCAUUUUUUCAACUUUAAAGUGGUGGCUUAAAAAGAAGCUUUAAACAAGUAGCAAUAAUUUCAUAUUGAAAAAUAAAACCUAUUUCAUGGAUAUUACAAGAGCAUUUAUUUUGAAAAACACACCUUUUGGUUCUUCGCUGCCUGACUUUUAAGAAGAUCUUUGUCCUUGUGACGAUUCAGAUUCUUUAAAAUAUCUUUGCAACGGAAUAAACAAAACCAAUCUAGGCCAAAAUUGACUUAUUCGAUUUGAUUAUGUUUACUGAUUUUUCUGUUCACAUGUUUACCCCUACUUGCCAUGUAGUUUUCGGGGUGUUAGAGCAUAGUGCUCUUCUCUUAACACACAAGUUUUGAUUUUAUUCUUCGUAAAUUAAGAGACCGUUUGAUAAUCAUUUCGUUUUCAGUUUAAAAAAUAUAAAAAACUAAAUGGAGUUUUCAAAAUUUGGCCUAGAAUUUUCGCUUUUGAUUUUUAAUUUUAAUUUUUUUUAAAACAACUGAAAACUAAAAAUAAUUACAAAAGGAAAUUUUCAGUUUUAAAUUUUCCAAAAAGUAAAAACUGAAAACUCUAAACUAUAGACUAAAAAUUAAAAAGUGAAAUCGAAAUGGGCUUUCAACGAAAUUGAAAAAAGACUGGGCUGAAUUAGUGAAUUCAAAGCAGGGCUUAUUAACUCUACGAGGCCCAAUGGAUCCGCAUAAAUAUUUAUCGAUAUUUUUACGCUACGAGACUCAAUGGAUCUGUAUAAAUAUUUUUUUUUUUUACAAACGAUAUUAUUUAUAUGGGCUUAACCUUAAAAUGAGCUAACAAUAAUGUGGUUCAAAUUUGCUUUUGACGAGAAUCGAACAUAAAACUUCUUACUUACAAAUGAAAAGAAAUACCACUAAAUCGUAGUCUGAGUGGCUCGUUAUUUUAUUUUAUAUUUUAAUAAAAAAGAAAGAAAGCAAUGAAAAGCUGUACAUAAACUAAAUACAAAAAGGAAUGAAAUGAAGAAGAGUGGGAGACGAACGUUUAAUUCAAGAUAAAGAAAGAAAGGUAAUCGCACCACGACGGCGGCGACGUGGCGGUCAUUUAACGGAAAAUAACAGACAAAUCAGCCUCCAGAUCAAGUCUUGAAGCACAACUCUGAAAAAUCGAGACUACCUACAGCUGAGCUCCGACCAACCGUUGAUGGAUGCAAUCCGGAAGCUCAGAGAUCAGGUCGCCAAGCAACAGCAGGUACUCUCUCUCUUGUUUGAUUCCGAAUUUGUAUUUCUGUAUGGAUUUUGAUACGAGCAUAAUCUGCGUUGAUUGCGAGAUACUAAGAUUGCUUAAUGAAAUGAUAUUUAUAUAAUUGUUCGAAUUGCAUUGGAUCGAUUCGAGUAGAAUUUCACUAUUUCUGAGCUGUUUGGGGCUGUGUUAGAGUGCAAUGUUGCUGAAUUUCUGAAAUUUUGAGCUAGGUGUUGCUGAUUACUUAUCGAUUUUCGGAUUUAAUUGGAUGCUUAAUUUACAUUUUCGGAAAACUUCAAGCGAAAAUGGCAUAUAAUUCAACGUUCUAUGCCUCAUUAAUGCAUAAGAGUUAGUCGAAGCUUGAUCGAGUUUGCUUUUGAUUAUUUUGUGAACACCGUCAGGCUGUGUUCAAACAAUUUUCUGGUGGCAUAUAUGGGGGAUCGGAUAAUGUUGCCUCGGAUGAAAAUGAAUUUCAACAGCAUCAGAAACUCGAGAAGCUGUACAUAUCAACUCGUGCUGCCAAGGUUGCUACGCUUAUUUUUGUCUGUGCUUUAAACGAGCAUCACGUUAGUUGUGUUACCUAUCGUUUUUUGCUUCUUCUUUAACAGCAUUACCAAAAGGAAAUUGUCCGCGGAGUGGAAGGUUACAUUGUGGCCGGUUCAAAGCACGUUGAAAUAGGUAUGUUGCUUGAAAUGUGUUGUCUUUUCUUGGGAGUUUGGAUAUGAAUUCAUGUUGGUUUUAUCAGUUGGUAUACAUGAUACUUUUUCAACAGGUACCAGGCUAUCAGAAGAUAGCAGGAAAUAUGGUUCUGAAAAGACUUGCACCAGUGGUAACACAUUGUCCAGAGCUGCACUGAGUUUUGGAAGAGCUCGGGCCCAAAUGGAAAAAGAGUGUGGAGUUCUACUUAAAGCUCUUGGCACACAGGUUUAAGUCAAAUUAUUACUAACAAAGCUCAACAACAACAACAACAACAACAACAACAAAGCCUUUUCUCACUAAGUGGGGUCGGCUAUAUGAAUCCUAGAACGCCAUUGCGCUCGGUUUUGUGUCAUGUCCUCCGUUAGAUCCAACUACUCUAAGUCUUUUAGGUCUUCCUCUACCCCUUCGGCCCUGAACCUCUGUCCUAUAGUCACAUCUUCGAACCAGAGCGUCAGUAGGCCUUCUUUGCACAUGUCCAAAUCACCGGAACCGAUUUUCUCUCAUCUUUCCUUCAAUUUUGGCUACUCCUACUUUACCUCAGAUAUCCUCAUUCCCAAUCUUAUCCUUUCUCGUGUGCCCACACAUCCAACGAAGCAUCCUCAUCUCCGCCACACCCAUUUUGUGUACGUGUUGAUGCUUCACCGCCCAACAUUCUGUGCCAUACAACAUCGCUGGCCUUAUUGCCGUCCUAUAAAAUUUUCCCUUGAGCUUCAGUGACCUAUGACGGUCACACAACACGCCGGAUGCACUCUUACACUUCAUCCAUCCAGCUUGUAUUCUAUAGUUGAGAUAUCCAUCUAAUUCUCCGUUCUCUUGCACGAUAGAUCCUAGGUAGCGAAAACGGUCGCUUUUUGUGAUCUUCGCUAGAUUGCUCCGGUCAUUAGUGUGGAUAAGUAUAUAAAUGGAUAGAGACAGGAAAGCAAACACAAGAUGUACGUGGUUCACCCAGAUUGGCUACGUCCACGGAAUAGAGAAGUUCUCAUUAAUUGUGAAGGGUUUACACAAGUACAUAGGUUCAAGCUCUCCUUUAGUGAGUACAAGUGAAUGAUUUAGUACAAAUGACAUUAGGAAAUAUUGUGGGAGAAUGAUCUCGUAAUCACGAAACUUCUAAGUAUCGGAGUGCGGUAUCGUCUUGACUUGCCUUAUCUGUCUCAUAGGUAGAUGUGGCAUCUUCUUUGGAAGUACUCUUCCUCCAUUAGGGGUGGUAUCUUUAACUGGUGGAGAUGCACAAGGUAAUGUAUCAAUUUCACUUGAAGCUUACUUGUAGUUUCAGGCUUGGUCAAGCGCGAUACAAACCAUGUAGUAGGAGUCCCCCAAGUCGCCGAGCUAGAGGAUCUGCUGAAAGAGGUGACAGACAAGGUAAGCAAUCAGAGCUCCGGCUGAUUGUUCACAUUCUCCCUAUCUUGCAGGCAGCAUGAAGGAUAAAGAGAAGAACAUGAGAAGAGAUGAUAUGGGAUACUUUUGCUUUUGAAGAAGUAACUUUCCACAGGCUUAUUCUUGAACUGAGCUGGAGGGUUUUCUGGUUUCCUCCAGAGUAUAAGGCCGACUGAAGAAUUUGAGGGUCAAAACAAGUCCAUCAAAUCUAGAGUACGUUCGACCCUGCUGAUAUGGGAUACUUUUGCUUUGACAGAGUAAUGGAUGUAUCGGCACGUGUGCUGUUUCGCUUGUCUCCACAUGCUUCCUUGUAUCCUUCUCCCUUGCCCUAUCUGUUCCUCAGGCAGAGAUGCGGUAUCUUCCCUGGAAGCAUAAGAUGUUGAAGAUGAGUACUUGAGAGCAAUGGCAGGUAAGUAAUCAGGUAAGGGGUUCCAGGCAGUCAGUUCCUGGCUGGAAGCUUGAUUCCAAGUGCUGACUGAUUGCUCUCUUUCUCCUUGUCUUGCAGAUAAGAACAAGGCCAAAGGAAAAGACAGGGAAAAAAGCAUGAUAUGGAGAUACUCUUGCUUUUAACCCUGAUGAUAUGAGAUAUUCUUGCUCUAGUAUAGCUUGUUUGCAGAGGAUAUUAUCGGGGGGAAAGAAAGCUGAAUAUUUCGAAAGGCUUCGUUGGGAGUGCCCUCUCAGAUAUGAGGAAGGGUUGAGCAUUUUUGCAGGUCUGCCUGUCCGUUGGGAAUGGAGGUCGACAUAUAUAGGAAUCUCCUUAACAACAAGUAGUAAUGCUAUUCCUUUACCCUACUUGGUCAUAGCACGGUAGUGGGAGCUGCCAGCUUCACAUGUUUUAACUCUGUCAGAGCACUUUGAAAAAGUGGUCUGUGGUAUCUGGAAAUGUGAUGUUGCGUGUGAAGAUUACAGACAGCUUUAUCCAAGGAGAUCCGGCUCUUGAAGUUGGGAAAGUGUUGCCUCUUCGGUUUUCGAACAAGCAAUCCUAUCGGGGAUCUGGCUCUCGAGAUUCGGAGAACGAUGCCUCUUCGAUUUUUGAGAAAGCAAUCAUGCUGGGGGUCUGGCUCUCGAGAUUUGGAGAGCGGUGUCUCUUCGAUUUUUGAGAAAGUAAUCAUGUUGGGAGUCUGGCUCUCGAGAUUCGGAGGGCGGUGCCUCUUCGAUUUUGGAGCAAGCAAACUUGUUGGGAGUGUUUUCUCGAAUGUGAGUAAAGGUUGGGCAUGUUUGCUAGUCUACCUUGCCACGAAGCACAGAGGUUGACACAUAGGGACUUUCCAAUUAUCCAGCAAUGGUACUGUUCCUUUACCCUCUCUUCGAUUUUUGAGAAAGUAGUCAUGUUGGGAGUCUGGCUCUCGAGAUUCGGAAGGACGGUGCCUCUUCGAUUUUGGAGCAAGCAAUCUUGUUGGGAGUGUUUUCUCGAAUGUGAGUAAAGGUUGGGCAUGUUUGCUAGUCUACCUUGCCACGAAGCACAGAGGUUGACACACAGGGACUUUCCAAUUAUCCAGCAGUGGUACUGUUCCUUUACCCUUGUGGGUAAUAAUAUGGUAGCUAGACCUUCAAAAUUUAUGUGUCUAAACUUUGUUAGUGCUGUUUCUUUGCUAUUGUUUUUACCCUUCUUGGUCAGAGCGAUGUAGUGGGAGCUGCAAGCUUCACGUGCUCAACUUUGGCAGAGAACUUUGGCAAAGUUAUCUGUGGUACCCAUGAGCUACUGUUGCGUGUGGGAAGUGGGUGAUUGAACAGUAAGAUUCAUGUGCUUUCUACUUCACCAGAAGUCUUCGACAGAAUGCCCAUAAUUUCCGCAAAGCUGAGUGUGCGUGUGACAGGUGCUGACAAGGCUGGAAAAGUAGGUGCCUCUUCGAUUUCUGAGAUCGGCCCUCGUGGUCUCUGAGCAGCCCAGCUUUUGAGAAAGCAAGCGCCUCUUCGAUUUCUGAGAUCGGCCUUCGUGGUCUUUGAGCAACCCAGCUUUUGAGAAAGCAAACGCCUCUUCGAUUUCUGAGAUCGACCCUCGUGGUCUCUGAGCAGCCCAGCUUUUGAGAAAGCAAACGCCUCUUCGAUUUCUGAGCAGGCGCCUUCUUCGAUUUCUGAAGCUCCGUCGAGUGCAGAUUUUUAUAGGGGCUGGCAUUAAGUUCCAAAGCACACUUGAAUCUCCACCAGUAGAAGCUCCAUUCUUGCACUUCUAAGAUCUUGAUUUGUCCGACCUCUUCUCUCUUCAACACCUUUGAAAAUGUCUGGCCCCUCCGACCGUCGUUUUUGACUUGAACCUUGUUGAAGAGGCAGCCACGCCUUCUCCAGACAACAUAUGGCGCCCAUCAUUCGUCUCCCCUACUGGUCCUCUUACCGUUGGGGAUUCCGUGAUGAAGAAUGAUAUGACCGCUGCGGUGGUGGCCAGGAACCUUCUCACUCCCAAAGAUAACAGACUACUUUCCAAACGGUCUGAUGAGUUAGCUGUUAAGGAUUCUCUGGCUCUCAGUGUUCAGUGUGCAGGUUCUGUGUGUCUAAUAUGGCCCAACGCCUAUUUGCUCGAACCCGCCAAGUUGAAUCAUUGGCGGCUGAAGUGAUGAGUCUCAAACAGGAGAUUAGAGGGCUCAAGCAUGAGAAUAAACAGUUGCACCGGCUCGCACAUGACUAUGCUACAAACAUGAAGAGGAAGCUUGACCAGAUGAAGGAAUCUGAUGGUCAGGUUUUACUUGAUCAUCAGAGAUUUGUGGGUUUGUUCCAAAGGCAUUUAUUGCCUUCGUCUUCUGGGGCUGUACCGCGUAAUGAAGCUCCAAAUGAUCAACCUCUGAUGCCUCCUCCUUCUAGGGUUCUGUCCAGUACUGAGGCUCCGAAUGAUCCCCCUCCGGUGCCUUCUCUUUCUGGGGCUCUACCGACUGCUGAGACUUCUCCUAAGCAACCUUUGUGAAGGCUCCCUCUUGUUUGUUUAUUUUGACUCAUGUAUAUGUACAUAUUUGUAGCUUAUCGGGGAUAUCAAUAAAUAAGCUUUCCUUCAUUUCAACGUAUUGUGUUAAAUACACCAAAGCCUUCUUCGCUAAGUUCUUUGAAUUUUCUUUUGUUGAAGCUUUGUGAGUGGAGCAUGUAGGUUGAGGUAGUGUUCCCUUAAUUUUCCGAGUGAGGAAAACUUCUCGGUUGGAGACUUGGAAAAUCCAAGUCACUGAGUGGGAUCGGCUAUAUGAAUCUUAGAACGCCAUUGUGCUCGGUCCUGUGUCAUGUCCUUCGUUAGAUCCAAGUACUCUAAGUCUUUUCUUAGAGUCUCUUCCAAAGUUUUCCUAGGUCUUCCUCUACCCCUUCGGCCCUGAACCUCUGUCCCAUAGUCGCAUCUUCUAAUCGGAGCGUCAGUAGGCCUUCUUUGCACAUGUCCAAACCACCGUAACCGAUUUUCUCUCAUCUUUCCUUCAAUUUCGGCUACUCCUACUUUACCCCGGAUAUCCUCAUUCCUAAUCUUAUCCUUUCUCGUGUGCCCACACAUCCAACGAAGCAUCCUCAUCUCCGCUACACCCAUUUUUGUGUACGUGUUGAUGCUUCACCGCCCAACAUUCUGUGCCAUACAGCAUCGCCGGCCUUAUUGCCGUCCUAUAAAAUUUUCCCUUGAGCUUCAGUGGCAUACGGCGGUCACACAACACGCCGGAUGCACUCUUCCACUUCAUCCAUCCAGCUUGUAUUCUAUGGUUGAGAUCUCCAUCUAAUUCUCCGUUCUUUUGCAAGAUAGAUCCUAGGUAACGAAAACGGUCGCUCUUUGGUAUUUCUUGAUCUCCGAUCCUCACCCCUAACUCGUUUUGGCCUCCAUUUGCACUGAACUUGCACUCCAUAUAUUCUGUCUUUGAUCGGCUUAGGCGAAGACCUUUAGAUUCCAACACUUCUCUCCAAAGGUUAAGCUUUGCAUUUACCCCUUCCUGAGUUUCAUCUAUCAACACUAUAUCGUCUGCGAAAAGCAUACACCAAGGAAUAUCAUCUUGAAUAUGUCCUGUUAACUCAUCCAUUACCAACGCAAAAAGGUAAGGACUUAAGGAUGAGCCUUGAUGUAAUCCUACAGUUAUGGGAAAGCUUUCGGUUUGUCCUUCAUGAGUUCUUACGGCAGUCUUUGCUCCUUCAUACAUAUCCUUUAUAGCUUGGAUAUAUAUGCUACUCGUACUCCUUUCUUCUCUAAAAUCCUCCAAGAAUGUCUCUUGGGACCCUAUCAUACGCUUUUUCCAAAUCUAUAAAGACCAUGUGUAAAUCCUUUUUCCCAUCUCUAUAUAUCUUUCCAUCAAUCUUCGUAAGAGAUAGAUUGCCUCCAUGGUUGAGCGCCCUGGCAUGAACCCGAAUUGGUUGUCCGAAACCCGUGUCUCUUGCCUCAAUCUAUGCUCAAUGACUCUCUCCCAGAGCUUCAUUGUAUGACUCAUUAGCUUAAUACCCCUAUAGUUCAUGCAAUUUUGUACGUCGCCCUUAUUCUUGUAGAUAGGCACCAAAGUGCUCGUUCGCCACUCAUUUGGCAUCUUCUUCGUUUUCAAAAUCCUAUUGAAAAGGUCAGUGAGCCAUGUUAUACCUGUCUCUCCCAAAACUUUCCACACUUCGAUUGGUAUAUAUCGUCUGGGCCUAUUGCUUUUCUAUGCUUCAUCUUCUUCAAAGCUACAACCACUUCUUCCUUCCGGAUUCGACGAUAAAAAGAGUAGUUUCUACACUCUUCUGAGUUACUCAACUCCCCUAAAGAAGCACUCCUUUCAUGUCCUUCAUUGAAAAGAUUAUGAAAAUAACCUCUCCAUCUGUCUUUAACCGCGUUCUCUGUAGCAAGAACCUUUCCAUCCUCAUCCUUGAUGCACCUCACUUGGUUUAGGUCCCUUGUCUUCUUUUCCCUUGCUCUAGCUAGUUUAUAGAUAUCCAACUCUCCUUCUUUGGUAUCUAGUCGUUUAUACAUAUCGUCGUAAGCCGCUAACUUAGCUUCUCUCACAGCUUUCUUCGCCUCUUGCUUCGCUUUUCUAUACCUUUCACCAUUUUCAUCGGUCCUAUCCUUGUAUAAGGCUUUACAACAUUCCUUCUUAGCCUUCACCUUUGUUUGUACCUCCUCAUUCCACCACCAAGAUUCCUUUUGGUGUGGGGCAAAGCCCUUGGACUCUCCUAAUACCUCUUUUGCUACUUUUCGGAAUACAACUAGCCAUGGAAUCCCACAUUUGGCUAGCUUCCCCCUCUCUAUCCCACACACACUGGGUGAUUACUUUCUCUUUGAAAAUGGACUUGUUUUUUUCUUCUUUUAGAUUCCACCAUCUAGUCCUUGGGCACUUCCAAGUCUUGUUCUUUUGUCUCACUCUUUUGAUAUGUACAUCCAUCACCAACAAGCGAUGUUGAUUAGCCACGCUCUCUCCUGGUAUAUAACUUUGCAAUCCUUACAAGUUAUACGAUCCCCUUUCCUCAUUAGAAGAAAAUCUAUUUGUGUUUUUGACGACCCACUCUUGUAGGUGAUCACAUGUUCUUCUCUCUUCUUAAAGAAGGUGUUGGCUAAGAAAGAGAUCAUAUGCCAUUGCAAAAUCCAAGAUAGCUUCCCCAUCCUCGUUUCUCUCCCCAAAACCAUGGCCACCAUGAAAACCUCCAUAGUUGCCUGUCUCCCUGCCCACGUGUCCAUUUAAAUCUCCUCCUAUAAAUAACUUCUCCGUCUGAGCAAUUCCUUGCACCAAGUCUCCAAGGUCUUCCCAAAAUUUCUCCUUCGAACUCGUAUCCAACCCUACUUGAGGUGCGUACGCACUAAUCACAUUGAUAAGUUCUUGUCCUAUUACAAUCUUGAUUGCCAUGAUUCUAUCUCCUACCCUCUUGACAUCUACAACAUCUUGUGUCAAGGUCUUGUCCACGAUGAUGCCAACACCGUUUCUCGUUCUAUUUGUGCCCGAAUACCAAAGUUUAAACCCUGAGUUUUCUAGAUCCUUUGCCUUACUACCAACCCACUUAGUUUCUUGUAGGCACAUAAUAUUUAUCCUUCUCCUCACCAUAACUUCCACUACUUCCAUAGAUUUUCCCGUUAAGGUUCCUAUAUUCCACGUUCCUAAACGCAUUUUGCUCUCUUGAACUCUACCCUUCUGUCCUAACUUCUUCACCCUCCCCCGUUUAAUAAGAUCAAAGUACUUCUUUUGUGUGUCCCGUGUAAAGUUGAUAGGAGCAUAUGCUCCCAAACAACUUUGAGUGGAGUCGUUCGAAAAGAAGUUUCUAUGGCCCCCUUGCUCAUUUAACACUGCAUCCGGGUGCCGAUGGAGAUACAGUGACCCUUGCUCACUUAUCACUGUGCUCGGGCCACACAGCGCGCCACUUACGGGUGACGCCCUAGCUUUAGCGCGAUUUUGUUCUGGAUUCAUUUUCAUAAGGAUUCGACGUGAUCAUGGAGUGCCGGCUGUCGACUACCUGACGUCCUCCCCCUCCUCCUUUAUCCGGGCUUGGGACCGGCAAUGUAACAAAGCUCAUUAAGUAAAAUUCAAAUAUUGCCUGGGCCGGCUUCAUACAAAUGGAAUUUCAACUGACUAAUUUUCGUGUGCAUUUGAUCAUUUCGAAAGAAAUUUACAGUAAAAAUUGUUUCCAUUUUCACGUGUGGUUCAAGAACUGGACUACUUUUUGUGUUAUUAUGCAUCAUAUGACAAACUGGUUCACCGUUUCUUUCUAUAGGUUUGCAUAAUAACUCCUUCUGUGCUUAUCAAUUUGCCUGUGUAGGUUGCAGAGCCUUUAAGAGCAAUGAUAGUGGGAGCGCCCUUGGAGGAUGCUUGACAUCUUGCUCAACAAUAUGCUAGAAUGCGGCAAGAAGCUGAAGCUCAGGUAUAUGCAGUUUCUUCUGUUUCCUCCCAAUUUUAUACUACAGUGAUUUUACAUGUUACGUGGUGAUCGUACAUUUCUUCGUUUAACUUUUUUUGUUUUCUUUUAAAAGUGUUUGUUCAUUUUGAGACAAUCAUGCAUUGGUAUUCAUAGAGAACGCAAAAUCUUAAGAUGUUUAAUGUAAACUUGUUAAGAUUGCUUUAUUACUUGAAGCUUUGUUGUAAUUUGGUUUUUGGUUUUUUUUUUAUUACUCCUUCAGAUUUGUCUAUAUAUACUAACUUGCACCGGGAUUCUGCAGGUAAUGCUGACAUUAUCAUGAAACUAGAAGCUGCUGAAGCCAAGCUUCAGGAGCUGCAGUCUACCGUUGCAAUAUUGGGAAAAGAAGCUAGUGCAGCUAUGGCUGCUGUUGAAGGUCAACAACAAAGAUUGACUCUUCAGCAGCUUCUUGCAAUGGUAAAGGAUUGCCUCCCCUUUUUGUUUAAGUAUGAAGACCUUGGCCUGUUCUAGUUACAAGACUGAAAAGGAAAUUAAUUUUGUAAAUUUGUCCUUUUUCAUCCCCAUUCAAGGUGGAAGCAGAGCGCAACUAUCAUCGGAACGUUCUUCAGAUACUUGAUCAGCUUGAAGGCGAGGUAUGAAAUAUCCUAAAGUCUUCCUUUCAGCAUGACAAUUUCGUAUCCCAAUUCAUUUGGCUCUAUAUUAUUCUAUUGUCUUGCUACUAAAAGCAGAGAUCAUUGACACUAUUUGUUGGGACAGAUUUUGGCAGAAAAGCAGCAAAUUGAAGCAUCGCAUAGUCCACCUACAGAGGACACUAUGCCUCCACUACCAUCGUAUGAGGAUCUCAGCCGUAGCUUUGCUUCUGAAACCUAUGAUGAAUUGACAGAGUUGAGGGACUCUUUCUUUGGAGGGGUAUCUUUAUGCUAAUGUUGUUGUAUCCAAGUUUUAGUCUGUUCGACUCUUUAGUUUCUAAUAACUGUUUCUUUUCACCUACCGCAGGUUAUGUACACCUUCCACGCUGUAACUGAUGUGGAGUUAAGUUUGUCAUUCGGGGAUUACAUUGUGGUCCGGAAGGUUCUGUCGUCUUUCCUGCUUGCAUGCUUUCAUCUUAUAUUCAUGUUCGGAUUUAUUUCUUUCGUAUUGAGGUUAAAUUUUCAUGUUCAGAGACGUCCACUCAGGUAUGUUCGUCAAUGCAUAUGCAUUAGCACACCACCGAGUGCAUUAGAAUAUGGAUUUCAGUUUUGGAUGCUUCAUGCAUUAAUGUAGUUUGUGUGGUUUUGGUUAUUGCUGCCGCUGAGCGUGAGUGGCUUUCUGUAGUUGCUGAGAGUUAUAUUGUGAGCAUAAUUCAUACAGCAGCUUUCAUAUACGGCACAUGUAGUCGGCAGCACUGCAUUUAGAAAGAGAGAGUUAUAUUUUCUUCACUGUUUAUUCAAAACUUAUAUGUUGCAUGUUCUGGCUUUUAAAGUGAGUCGGCAUCAGAGUUUUUAUUUGAGAAAAAUCAGUUUUGUGUCCAUGUGUUUUCAAAGAAAAUAUUUUAGUUUUUAAUCACUGAUUUUUCAUUGUGCUUCAAUUAGAAAUUAAUUAUGAGAAUCUGCCUUGUGAUUUUCGUAAUUGGUUGAUUCAAAAAAUCUUUACAUUUCAUACAUUUUGCAUGAUCUCGUUAGUAUCUUGCAAAGUUCAAUGACACAGUGAUUGACGGUCGCGUUAGUGUCGUGCCACUUUCACUUGAAAGCUGAAGAGAGAUCGAGUAGCAAAGCGCAAUGAAAAAAAUUGCAUACUAGUAUGUGGGCAGUGGCGGAUCCAGGAUUUUAAACUCGGGGGGUCCCAAUAAUAAAUUUCAAAAAAAUUAUAGACAAAAAUAACAUUAAAAAGUUAAAUAUAAUACAUUUCAUUCAAAAUCAUACGCAAAACAACAUUACAAGCUAUAAAAUCACAAAACAACAAAUCGUCGUUUUUUCUUUGCAUGCAAAGUGUAUGGGAACUCAUGCUUUGUAGGCCUACAAGGUCCCAUUUGCAAAUAUGUUCUUUGAACCUCAUCUUGAAUAUUAGAAGAAUAGUCCUUCAUUCGAAUUCUUUUUCUUGGGUCUCUCUCAAGAUUAUUAAAAUCAACGUCACACUCAUUUUGUCUUGAGCUCGAACUACCAGAACAAAUAAAUGGUGCUAUUGGCUUUGGAAGGAAAAAUCUUUCCAUAUUUCUUAUUUGUAAACUACAUAUUUAAGCAAAAACAGAAAACAUAUACCGAUUAACCAAUAAACAAAAAUUCCAUCUAAAUUCCAAUGAUAAAAUGAGUAUACAAACAUAAAACAUAUCAACAAUCAUAUCAAUAAUAGACUAAAAAUCUCCAUCAAUAUCUAAUAUAAUUUAAUUGAGAUUAGAUUAGAAUUCUAAAAAACUUAAUUGAAUUUUGAACCAAAUAGUGGUGGAGUGGAGAAUUAAAACAAGUGGAUGUAUGAUAUUGGACUUACGUAAUUAUAAUAUGGGAUUGGGUCAUGGGUGAGAUUAGAAAUUUAGGGUUUUGAAAUGGGGGGAAAGAGGGAACCAAAUAAUAGGGAAUUGGGGGAAAAGCAGCAGGGAAAGAGAGAACUUUGGGGAAGGGCUCAGGGGGGCUGGGCUUUAAAAUUAAAGCAAUAUUGAGUCAUCAUGCAUGGCAAACGACAACGUUUGUCUACCUUUUUGUUUUUUUAUACUUAAAACAAUGGGCCAAAACACAGCCGUUUUGGACCAAUUGGUAAAAACCCCUAUUUUCUUUCUUCUUCCCGCAGCGUCUUCUUCUUCACUGCUACCUGCAACUGCAACCUGCAACCUGCACAGCAGCUCAAACCUUGUGUUCGAGGGGUCCCCCGGAAAUUUUCUAACAGGGAUUUAGGGUCGCCGAAGGGUCCUAGGACCUCCCAGGUCCCUCUGUAGAUCCGCCACUGUAUGUGGGUCUAGUUAAUGAGUUUUGUAAGUCUUUCUAUACUCAUUUCUCUUAUUAUUUGUCAUGACUUAAGAGUCUGAGGAUUUUCUCAGUGGUGAGUUUUACCUUGUUAAAUCCUACAUCAUAUGUACACAUGUUAUUUGUCUUUUUAUUGCAAAUGUGUAGGAUAAUCUUUCACUUAUUUUCUUAUAGUGAACUCUAUCUUAGACAUUCAUCAACAUAUAGAGUUUACGACAGAGGACUUUUGCUACUAUUAUUCAGUGCAUUGAUUAAUUUGUAAAGCGCUCAUUUAUCCUAAUUAUAAAAUAUAAUGUGUACAAGACAUUAAAAAAAUGGAAGUGUCUUUCAACAGUUUGAAUGUCAUGUAUGGCCAUAUCCUUUAUUUCCACCAUUCUUAUCAACCGAAUGCGGAGAGAUUGUCUUUAUCUCACAAACCCAUAAUGUGGCAAUCGUCCAUUAGAAAGGUAACGUACGUUUUGAAAAUCGUGGCAAAUAUUGAAUGAGUAAUGAUGCCUCUAAAAAUAAAGUAACGAAUAAUCAACAGAAGUAGCAGUACAUCAAGUUGGAUCUUUUUCAAUGUUGAAAUGAAAUAUGAAAGUAGAUCAAGUUGCUAUUAUUCAUCCUUUUUUUUUUUUUAAAUAAACAAUAUUGUUUACAUUAAGAAGAGGAAGAAGUUAGCUAAGUCUUACAAUACGCUAGCAAUAAUAUGGUUAAAAUUCGCAUUUGGUAAUAAUCAAACCUAAGACUUCUCACGUACAAGUGAAGAAAAAUUUCAUUAGACCGUAACAUUAUUCAUCCACUUUUACAUAAUGAAUAAUCAAGAAAAACAUUGCACGGGUCCCCCUUACCACUAGUGGCCAUCACUUCCCUGAGCAAAAGAGAUCUUUCAAAUGGAGGAGGAUUCUUUACCUUCCUAUUUCCAUUCUCUUCCAUUUUCUCAUCUCACACAUUACUUUUUAUCUUAUUAUCUCUAUAAAUAAAUCAAUAUAAAAUGUUGACACACAUUACUUUUUAUCUUAUUAUCUCUAUAAAUAAAUCAAUAUAAAAUGUUGACGUGGUUUAACUGUGACUGUUCCAAUAGAAGGAGAUGGAAAAGUAGAGAUAUUAGGAGGGUAGAGAAUCCUACUUCUUUUCCAAUUGCUUGAUCAAAACAAGCAUUGACUUGGCCGUCCAUUCAUCGAUAACAGGUCCACAUCUCAAUCCAAAUAUAAUGACGUCAAAGGAGAGGGGAAAAUGAGAAGGAAACUUUGGAGGGUAGAGGGAAGGAAAAGGAGAAAGGGAGAAAGGGAGAAAGUAGAAGGGAAAAGUAGAAAGAGAAGAAGGAAAAUGAGAGGAAAUUUCGGAGAAUAGAGAAAAUGAGAAGGAAACUUUGGAGGGUAGAGGGAAGGAAAAGUAGAAAGAGAAGAAGGAAAAUGAGAGGAAAUUACAAGUGCCACAUUAUUAUGCGGUUCUAUCAAGUUUUAAUUUUUGUCUCAUAACCACAUCAUUUUUAGGAAAAUCAAUAUUGGAGUUGAAUAUAUAAACCUUCGAUAUGGUGAUAUUGGAAACAAUAGUUGGUGGGUUGAUUGGUAGAAAUGGUUCCAACAAUUCAAGGACGAGAAAUGAGCAUUGAGCAACGAUCAAAAUAUGUUGUAUUUUAUUACAAAAGAUCUUUGUGCAAUUAAAAAUGCAUUUUAUCACAAAAACAUGAGCAACGAUCAAUAUAAUUGUUAUUUAUAAAAUCACACAUAAAACAAGAAGUAAUCUUUUCUUUUUCUUUUCAUCCCUGCCACUAGCGGCCGACCAUGACUUAAUUAAAGAAACGCUUUUUGGGUUAAUGGAUGGGAACGACCCAUUUUAUAAUUGUUUGUAAAUUUUUCUGGAAGUAGAUGUAAAUGACCCAAUUACAUAUUUCCCCUGCUCACAGACGUUUGCAUUGCACCUAGCAAACACCAGUUUUUUUGUUUAAGCAUCGAUCCACAUCAAUGGCUCUUGUGAGAACAUCUCCAGGAACCUCAUCUGAUUCCAACAAUUUUCGGGGUUAUCGCUACGACGUGUUCUUAAGCUUCAGAGGCGAAGACACUCGCAAGACUUUUACCGACCACCUCUACACAGCCUUGAACAACGCAGGAUUUCUUACGUUCCGAGACGACGAUGAACUUGAGAGAGGAGAAGAUAUAAAGCCAGAACUGCAGAAAGCGAUACAGCAGUCACGAACUUCUGUUGUCGUGUUUUCGAAAGAUUACGCGUCAUCCAGGUGGUGUCUUGAUGAGCUUGUGCUGAUCCUUGAACGCAAGAGGACCACCUCGGACCAUGUAGUUUUACCAGUCUUCUACGAUGUCGAUCCGUCCCACGUGAGGAAGCAGACAGGAAGUGUUGGAAAAGCAUUUGCUAGAAGCCAGAAAAAUCAGUCGUCGGAAAAGGUGGAGGGAUGGAGGAAGGCACUUGCAGAGAUUGCAGACCUAGCAGGCAUGGUCUUAAAAAAUCAAGCUGAUGGGUAACUUUCAUUAUCUCCAUUUCUCUUCUCUUUGUUGGGUCAAUUUGAUGUAUGAUCCGUAGUGACAUAGAUUUUUAUAUAUUUAUUAAUUCAAUCUCAGUAGUGAAUAAUAAUCCCAAUUUAGGUCAACUUAAAGAAAGCACACUCAACUCAACUUAAGGAUUAGUCAUUUUCCAUGUUAAUCUACUGGUUUCCAGGUGCUUAAAUUUUGUUUGAAAGCUGGUGUGGAAAAAAGUUAGGAUGUGAUCUGUUUUGUAUUUGUCUAUAGUUUGUAUAAAUUAUGCGCUGUAUUCUUUUUUUUUUUCAAUUUAAUUUUGUCAGGCAAUCAACAUAUGUUUUAAUUAUCUAAUUUCCCCAAUUCAUUUUUCAUUUUGUUUGCAAAUUCUUAGGUACGAGGCAAAGUUUAUCGAAAAAAUUGUUAAAGUGAUAGAAGACAAGUUAAGUCGUAUGCCAUUGAGUGUUGAACCAAAAUUGAUUGGUAUUCAAUAUCAAGCCGAACGCAUCAAUUUGUGGUUACAAGAUGGAUCAAGUGGUGUUGGUAUAUUUGUUGUGUAUGGCAUGUCUGGAAUCGGGAAGACAACCAUUGCAAAACAUGUUUACAAUUCAAACUUUAGAAGCUUUCAAGGAAGUAGUUUCAUUGAAAAUAUCAAAGAAACAGCAGAUCGACCAAAUGGCUUAGUUCAAAUACAAAUGCAACUUCUUUGUGAUAUUUUGAACGGCAGAGAAGUGAAAAUACACAGUGUUAGUGAGGGAAUAAUUAAGAUUGAAAAGGCCAUAAGCUCUAAAAGAGUUCUACUUGUUCUUGAUGAUGUUGACCAUAUGGACCAAUUAGAUGCAAUCCUAAGGAUGAAAGAUCAGUUUUAUCCUGGAAGUAAGAUACUAAUAACAACUAGGCGUGAAAGGUUGUUAAAGGCUGAUCAAGUUACAGAGGUGCACAGAGUUCAAACUUUGGAUGACAAUGAAUCAUUAAAGCUUUUCAGUUGGCAUGCUUUUGGCCAGGACCAUCCCAUAGAAGAAUACAUGGAGCACUCAAAACAGAUAGUGCAACAUAGUGGCGGACUUCCAUUAGCUCUAAAAGUUUUGGGUUCUUCUUUAUCAGGAGGAAGUAUAGGUGUAUGGGAAAGUGCAUUGGAGAAGCUAAAAGUUAUUCCUGAUGGUGAAAUCAUGAGUAAACUAAGAAUAAGCUAUGAAAGUUUAAAAGAUGACCAUGACCGGAAAUUAUUCCUCCACAUUGCUUGUUUCCUAAUAGGAAGGAACAAAAGCUACAUUGUUAGAAUAUUCGAUGGAUGUGAUUUCUAUACAAUCAUUGGCAUUCAAAAUCUCAUUGAUAGAUGCUUGGUGACACUUGAUGAAUACGGCAAGGUGGAAAUGCAUGACAUGAUUCGUGCUAUGGGAAGAGAAAUUGUUCGCCAAGAAUCAGAAGAGCCUGAGAAACGUAGUAGAUUAUGGCACCAUAAGGAUUCUUUCCAAGUAUUGAGGAAAAAGAAUGUAAGAAACAUGCCUUUUAUGUCUAUAUAUGUAUUUCUUCUUGUGAAAAUUACGCAUAUUAAUGUCUCUUUUUUUUCCUUUAGGGUACAAAAAAAAUCCAAGGUCUUGUCCUGGAUAUGCGUAACCAUCCAGCAAACAGUCCAAUAAACACAAAUGAGAUAGUCUUGGAAACCAAUGCAUUUGCAAGGAUGUGCAAUUUACAACUACUCCAUCUUAGUCAUGUACGACUGGAUGGAUGUUAUGCAGAUUUCCCUACAGGAUUAAGAUGGUUGUGUUGGCUUGAAUUUCCUUUGGAUUCUAUACCAAUUGAUUUUCCUUUGGAGAACGUAAUUGUUCUUGAAAUGCAAUACAGUAGCUUGAGACAAGUAUGCAAAGGAACAAAAGUAUGUUACUCUAUGCAUUUCAAUUCAUUUUCCUUAUUUUGUUAGUUUUUUAUUUGUUGACCAACUCCAUGUGUUAAAAUGAACUACUAUGUUUUCUUUAAUUCGAUGACUAAUUUCUUAUGUUAGAUACUUAUUUCAUUGUUCUUUUUUCUUUUCUUUUUUUCCCUCUGUUUCCACAGUUUCUUCCAUCGUUGAAGAUCCUUGACGUCAGCCAUUCUCAUGGUCUUAGUGAAACCAUUGACUUCUCACGUUCCUCCAAUCUAGAGGAACUAAUUCUUGUAGAUUGCACAAGCCUGGAGAAUGUUCAUGAAUCCAUUGGAAACCUGGAGAGACUCGUGUACUUGAAUAUGAAGGAUUGCAAGAAUCUUAGGAAGCUUCCGAAGAACAUGUGCAAGCUUAAAUCACUUGAAAUACUCAUUUUAUCUGGUUGCUCAAAUCUUGAUGAGGUUCCAGUGGAGAUGAUGAAGAAGAUGGAGUCUCUGAAAGUUCUUGAGACGGAUGGAAUUCCAAUAGGUGAAUUGUGGCCAGAAAGAAGUUCAACUAUCUUGAGUUCUUUUCCGUGCUCUUUGGUAGAGUUAAGUCUGAAGGGGUGCAAUCUUUCUGAUGAUGUCUUUUCUACGGAUUUAAGUGCUCUAUCCUACUUGCGAAGACUACAUUUGGAUGAGAAUCCAAUUUGCAGUCUGCCAGUUUUCAUCAAAGGUUUGAGGAGGAUCGAUGAACUCUCUUUCAAGGGUUGUGAUAGGCUCGAAUCGCUUGUGGGGUUGCCGGAAGUACACCAAAGGCUAAGUAUAAAAGAAUGCAUAUCAUUAAAAAAAAUAACUUUUCAUUCCCCUGGGCAACAUUAUCUAACACGUGUAUUUUGCCAUGACAACCCGAAUCUUGUUGAGUGUGAGUGCUAUUACAAGUUAGAGCCUAUUGAUAGAGUUGAUGUGGAAAUGAUCAAACUUUUGGGCUUGUGCAACUUGGAAUCCAUGCCAGCUGUUCGAAUGCAUCAUCCACUCACAAACUGGGAUCUAAUAGAGGUCCCCGUCCAGGUGCGCCUCUUUUUCUCUCUCUCUCAUAAGUCUUAAAUAUAUAAUGGGAAAGAAAUGACUGAGUAAUGUUGUGAUGACUGUGGCAAAUACAUAGGGACUGUAUCAACAUGGUAUAUUCAGCACCUUUUUUGUUGGGAAUGAGGUUCCAGGCCUGUUCAGCUAUAAAAGUACCAAGUCCUCGAUAUCUUUUAUUGUCCCUUUACUACUUGCUAGUCACAGAAUUCGAGGCUUGAACAUCUUUGCUACCUAUGCAAAGGAAAAUUCAAAUAAUUAUUCUACUAGACCUAAUAUUGGUCCAAUAAUGAUCAAAGUGAGAAACAAGAGUAAGGGUCUGAAGUGGAUCUAUGACCCAUUUUUCUAUGGAAUCCCAAGUGACGGAGAAGAUAUGAUAUGGUUGAGCCAUUGGAAGAUGGAGAAUAAAACAAUAUUACAAUGUGGAGAUGAAGUGGUGGUUUCGGUAAUAACUGGACCACGUGACAUGUUUUGGGUCAAGGAGUUUGGUGUCGAGCUUGUGCAAGAGCACCAAGACAAGAUGAGUACCCAACACAACACCAAAUCUGAUCCUAAUUAUCCAUUUGUUAUUGAUGGAGAUUUGAAGAUGUUUGAGGACAGACCGGGAAAAUACUUCCUUGGCAGUUAUUUUAUAGAAGAAAUUGAUGACAUUGAUAUCCUCACCAUGGACUCUGAUGAAGAAGACACAAGUAUGUUGUGUUGUUGUAUUGCAUUGAAUUAUACUUCAUCCAAACACUUCCAGGUGUGUCCGUAUUCAUUUCAAAAACGUUUCCAAUAAAUUUUAUGUUAUUUGUAUGUUUUUCAGACAAAGAAGGGCAAGAGGAUGAACCUGAUUACACAAUUGCAAAGACGAGGGCUGCUAGCAAUAACUGCAGCCUGAGAGGCUGGAAGGUGCGCCUCACAGCUGUCGGCUUCUUUUUCGCGCUUGCUCUAGUAGGUUGGUCCUCCAUCUCCCAAAAAAAGAAGCGACAAUCGUCCACAAGCCCACCAUGAGUUUGUAAUUUGACUUCAAAUGUGCUUGCUCUAGUAGCUAAGCACUCUUAACCGCUUGAGAUAUAAAAGCCCAUUGCAACUAGAUACUGAACUUCAAAUGUGUUCAACGCCAUCAAAUAUAGCAUAAAAUACAUCCAGCAUUAGGUUCCAAGCCCACUAUUGAAAAUCAUGUUCAUCCACUCUACACAUCCAAGGCAGCAAACUAACUAGGAUACCAGGUUGGGAGGAUACAAUCAUUAACAAUUUCAAAAGCUAUAAAUGCAAUCCGAAUACAUGGCAAGUAGGGGUAAGCAUGUGAACAAAAAAAUCAGUGAACAUAAUCAAAUCCAAUACGUCAAUUUUGGCCUAGAUUGAAAUGAAAAAAACAAGGAAAUGCUUUGUGUAUCGAUUUGUUUAUGAAGGAAAUAAAACAUAUUUCAUGGAAAGAAAACCUGUGGUUACCUUUGUCUUCCUCUGCCAUUUGUCUAUCGAUUUGUUUCUGAAAGUGGCUAUUCUACAAGAUACAACAUGACAGGUCUUAGUUAGACCAAGUAAACGGCAUGGAAAUGCUUUCUGAAGCAAGAAUGUGUACUCAAGAGCUUUGUGCCAGAGAGGUCGUCGUACCCAGUGCACAAGGCUCCCGCUUUACGCAGGGUCUGGGAGAGGUGAAUGUCGGCUAGCCUUACCCCUAUUUAUGGAGAGGACUUAAGAAAAAUGAAAAAAACAAUAUAGAAUAUGGGUAAGAAUAAAUUUCGAUUAGACAAUAAUUCACUGUAUAAAUCGUUUUUUCAACUUUAAAGUGUGGCUUAAAAAGAAGCUUUAAACAAGUAGCAAUAAUUUCAUAUUGAAAAAUAAAACCUAUUUCAUGGAUAUUACAAGAGCCAUUAUUUUGAAAAACACACCUUUUGGUUCUUCACCACUUGACUUUUAAGAAGAUCUUCGUCCUUGUGACGAUUCAAAUUCUUUAAAAUAUCUCUACGACGGAAUAAACAAAACCAAUCUAGGCCAAAAUUGACUUGUUCGAUUUGAUUAUGUUCACUGAUUUUUCUGUUCACAUGUUUACCCCUACUUGCCAUAUAGUUUUGGGGUGUUAGUGCAUAGUGCUCUUCUCUUUACACACCAGUUUCAAUUUUAUUCUUCGUAAAUUAAGAGACCGUUUGAUAAUCAUUUCGUUUUCAAUUUAAAAAAUAUAAAAAACUAAAUGAAGUUUUCAACUAGAAUUUUCGCUUUUGGUUUUCAAUUUUAAUUUUUUUUAAAACAACUGAAAACUAAAAAUAGUUGCAAAAAGAAUUUUUCAUUUUUUUUUAAUUUAUAAAAAAGUAAAAACUGAAAACUCUAAACUAUAGACUAAAAAUUAAAAAGUGAAAUCGAAAUGGGCUCUCAACAAAAUUGAAAAAAGACUGGGCUGAAUUACUGAAUUCAAAGCAGGGCUUAUUAACGUUACGAGGCCCAAUGGAUCUGGAUAAAUAUUUUUCAUUUUUUUUUAACAAACGAUAUUAUUUAUAUAGGCUUAAUUUUACAGUGGGCUAACAAUAAUGUGGUUCAAAUUUGCUUUUCGCAAGAAUAGAACCUAAAACUUCUCACUUAUAAAUGAAGAGGAAUACCACUAAACCGUAGUCCUGAUAGAUUCGUUAUUUUAUUUUAUAUUUUAAGAAAAAAGAAAGAAAGCAAUGAAAAGCUGUACAUAAAAUAAAUACAAAAAGGAAUGAAAUGAAGAAGAGUGGGAGACUAAUGUUUAAUUCAAGAUAAAGAAAGAAAGCUGAUCGCACCACGACGGCGGCGACGUGGCGGUCAUUUAACGGAAAAUAACAGACAAAUCAGCCUCCAGAUCAAAUCUUGAAGCACAACUCUGAAAAAUCGAGACUACCAACAGCUGAGCUCCGACCAACCGUUGAUGGAUGCAAUCAGGAAGCUCAGAGAUCAGGUCGCCAAGCAACAGCAGGUACUCCCUCUCGUUUGAUUCCGAAUUUGUAUUUCUGUAUGGAUUUUGAUAUGAACAUAAUCUGCGUUGAUUGCGAGAUACUGAGAUUGCUUAAUGAAAUAAUAUUUAUAUAAUUGUUCGAGUUGAAUUGGAUCGAUUCGAAUUCAAAUAGAAUGUCACUAUUUCUGAGCUGUUUGGGGAUGUGUUGGAGUGCAAUGUUGAUGAAUUUCUGAAAUUUUGAGCUAGGUGUUGCUAAUUACUUAUCGAUUUUUGAUGUAAUUGGAUGCUUAAUUUUUACAUUUUCGGAAAACUUCAAACGAAAAUGGCAUAUAAUUCAACGUUCUAUGCUUCAUUAAUGCAUAAGAGUUGGUCGAAGCUUGAUCGAGUUUGCUUUUGGUUAUUUUGUGAACACCGUCAGGCUGUGUUCAAACAAUUUUCUGGUGGCAUAUAUGGGGGAUCGGAUAAUGUUGCCUCGGAUGAAAAUGAAUUUCAACAGCAUCAGAAACUCGAGAAGCUGUACAUAUCAACUCGUGCUGCCAAGGUUGCUACGCUUAUUUUUGUCUGUGCUUUAAACGAGCAUCACGUUAGUUGUGUUACCUAUCGUUUUUUUGCUUCAUCUUUAACAGCAUUACCAAAAGGAAAUUGUCCGCGGAGUGGAAGGUUACAUUGUGGCCGGUUCAAAGCACGUUGAAAUAGGUAUGUUGCUUGAAAUGCGUUGUCUUUUCUUUGGAGUUUGGAUAUGAAUUCAUGCUGGUUUUAUCAGUUGGUAUACAUAAUAUUUUUUCAACAGGUACCAAGCUAUCAGAAGAUAGCAGGAAAUAUGGUUCUGAAAAGACUUGCACCAGUGAUAACACAUUGUCGAGAGCUGCACUUAGUUUUGGAUGAGGUGGGGCCCAAAUGGAAAAAGAGUGCGGAGUUCUACUUAAAGCCCUUGGCACACAGGUUUAAGUCAAAUUAUUACUAACAGAGGCUAUUAAGUAAAAAUCAAAUAUUGCCAGGGCCGGCUUCAUACAAAUGGAAUUUCAACUGACUAAUUUUCGUGUGCAUUUGAUCAUUUCGAAAGAAAUUUACAGCAAAAAUUGUUUUCAUUUCCACGUCGUGGUUCAAGAAUUGGACUACUUUUUGUGUUUCUAUGCAUCGUAUGACAAACUGGCUCACCAUUUCUUUCUAUAGGUUUGCAUAAUAACUCUUUGUGUGCUUAUCAAUUUGCCUGUGUAGGUUGCAUAGCCUUUAUAGUGGGAGCGCCCAUGGAGGAUGCUCGACAUCUUGCUCAACGUUAUGCUAGAAUGCGGCAAGAAGCUGAAGCUCAGGUAUAUGCAGUUUCUUCUGUUUCCUACCAAUUUUAUUCUACAGUGAUUUUAUAUCCAAAACAAGCAUUGACUUGGCUGUCCAUCCAUCAAUAGCAGGUCCACAUCUCAACCCAAAUAUAAUGACGUCAAAGGAGAGGGGAAAAUGAGAAGGAAACUCUGGAGGGUAGAGGGAAGGAAAAGGGGAAAAGGAGAAAGGGAGAAGGGAAAAGUAGAACGGGAAGGAGGAAAAUGAGAGGAAAUUUCGGAGAAUAGAGAAAGGGAGAAGGGAAAAGAAGAAAAGCAGAAAAGAAGGGAAAAGGGGAAGGAAGCUUAGGAGGCUAGAGAAAAAGAUGGAAAUGCAUAAAAAUAAAAAAAUAAAAAAGGAAAGUCGCCUUCAUCAUUAUGUCUACUAACGGAAAGGAGCAACCACAUUGUAAAUUAUAUUUUGUAUAAUGAGAAACCAGUAUUCCUACCCUGAGGGUAUAGACACAACUUGCUGAAUCUCGUUACUAUACAGCAAGUUUAUAAUUGCACAAUAAUUCGAUCAAUCAUCUUAAGUUCAACCAUACAUGUAACAAGAUUUAAGUUUUUCCAAACUUUCCUUAUGAAGGUAACUGAACAUUACAAGUGUCACGUUAUUAUGCGAUUCUAUCAAGUUUUAAUUUUUGUCUCAUAACCACAUUACAAGUGCCACGUUAUUUAUUUUAUCCUUUAUUUUAUCUUUAUUAUUAAAACUUAAAAUUUUCAUAUUUUUUUAUUAAUUUUUUUUUAUAAAAUCACACGUAAAACAAGAAGUAAUCUUUUCUUUUUCUUUUCAUCUCUGCCACUAGCGGCCGACCAUGACUUAAAGAAACGCUUUUUGGAUGGGUCAAUGUAUGGGAACGACCCAUUUUAUAUGUUACAUGGUUGUGCAAUUAAAAGUGCAUUUUAUCAUAAAAAUGUGAGCAACGAUCAAUAUAAUUGUUAUUUAUAAAAUCACACAAAACACAAGAAGGAAUCUUUUCUUUUUCUUUUUCAUCUCUGCCACUACCAGCCGACCAUGACUUAAAAGAAACGCUUUUUGGUUCAAUGGAUGGGAACGACCUAUUUUAUAAUAAGAAAAAUUAAUUAAAAAAAUUUAAAAAUUUUAAGUUUUAAUAAUAAAAAGAUGUUGUAAAUAAAUAGUACAUAAUUGAUUUUUUUAGUAAAAGUAUAAUUUUUUAUUAAAAUUUCGUUCAAAUCCCCUUUAUAAUAUUGUUUGUAAAUUUUUCUGGAAGUAGAUGGAAAUGACCCAAUUACAUAUUUCCCCUGCUCACAGACAUUUUCAUUGCACCUAGAAAACCAGUUUUUUGUUAGAAAAUCGAUCCACAUCAAUGGCUCUUGUGAGAACAUCUCCAGGAACCUCCUCUGAUUCCAACACUUUUCGGAGUUAUCGCUACGACGUGUUCUUGAGCUUCAGAGGCGAAGAUACUCGCAAGACUUUUACCGACCACCUCUACACAGCCUUGAACAACGCAGGAUUUCUUACGUUCCGAGACGACGAUGAACUUGAGAGAGGAGAAGAUAUAAAGCCAGGACUGCAGAAAGCGAUCCAGCAGUCACGAACUUCUGUUGUCGUGUUUUCGAAAGAUUACGCUUCAUCCAGUUGGUGUCUUGAUGAGCUUGUGCUGAUCCUUGAACGCAAGAGGACCACCUCGGACCAUGUAGUUUUACCAGUCUUCUACGAUGUCGAUCCGUCCCACGUGAGGAAGCAGACAGGAAGUGUUGGAAAAGCAUUUGCUAGAAGCCAGAAAAAUCAGUCGCCGGAAAAGGUGCAGGGAUGGAGGAAGGCACUUGCAGAGAUUGCAGACCUAGCAGGCAUGGUCUUACAAAAUCAAGCUGAUGGGUAACUUUCAUUAUCUCCAUUUCUCAUCUUUCCUGGGUGAAUUUGAUGUAUGAUCCGUAAUGACCUAGAUUUUUAUAUGUUUAUUAAUUCAAUCUCAGUAGUGAAUAAUAAUCUCAAUUUAGGUCAACUUAAAGAAAUCACACUCAACUCAACUUAAGGAUUAGUCAUUUUCCAUGUUAAUCUACUGGUUUCCAGUUGCUUAAAUUUUUUUGAAAGCUGGUGUGGAAAAAGGUUAGGAUGUGAUCUGUCUAUAGUUCGUGUAAAUUAUGCGCUGUAUUCCUUUUUUUUUUCAAUUUAAUUUUGUCAGCAGUCCUCUUUUUUUUUUCUUAUUUAAAAAGGCAAUCAACAUAUGUUUUAAUUAUCUAAUUUCCCCAAUUCAUUUUUCAUUUUGUUUGCAAAUUCUUAGGUACGAGUCAAAGUUUAUCAAAAAAAUUGUUGAAGUGAUAGGAGACAAGUUAUGUCGUACGUCGUUGAGUGUUGAACCAAAAUUGAUUGGAAUUCAAUCUCAAGCCGAACGCAUCAAUUUGUGGUUACAAGAUGGAUCAAGUCAUGUUGGUAUAUUUGUUGUGUAUGGCAUGUCUGGAAUAGGGAAGACAACCAUUGCAAAACAUGUUUACAAUUCAAACUUUGGAAGCUUUCAAGGAAGUAGUUUCAUUGAAAAUAUCAAAGAAACAGCAGAUCGACCAAAUGGCUUAGUUCAAAUACAAAUGCAACUUCUUUGUGAUAUUUUGAACGGCAGAGAAGUGAAAAUACACAGUGUUAGUGAGGGAAUAAUUAAGAUUGAAAGGGCCAUAAGCACUAGAAGAGUUCUACUUGUUCUUGAUGAUGUUGACCAAAUGGACUAAUUCGAUGCAAUCCUAAGGAUGAAGGAUCAGUUUUAUCCUGGAAGUAAGAUACUAAUAACAACUAGGCGUGAAAGGCUGCUAAAGGCAGAUCAAGUUACAGAGGUGCACAGAGUUCAAACUUUGGAUUACAAUGAAUCAUUAAAGCUUUUCAGUUGGCAUGCUUUUGGCCAGGACCAUCCCAUAGAAGAAUACAUGGAGCACUCAAAACAGCUAGUGCAACAUAGCGACGGACUUCCAUUAGCUCUAAAAGUUUUGGGUUCUUCUUUAUCAGGGGAAAGUAUAGGUGUAUGGGAAAGUGCAUUGGAGAAGCUAAAAGUUAUUCCUGAUGGUGAAAUCAUAAACAAACUAAGAAUAAGCUAUGAAAGUUUAAAAGAUGACCAUGACCGGAAAUUAUUCCUCCACAUUGCUUGUUUCCUAAUAGGAAGGAACAAAACCUACAUUGUUAGAAUAUUCGAUGGAUGUGAUUUCUAUACAAUCAUUGGCAUUCAAAAUCUCAUUGAUAGAUGCUUGGUGACAUUUGAUGAACACGGCAAGGUGAAAAUGCAUGACAUGAUUCGUGCUAUGGGAAGAGAAAUUGUUCGCCAAGAAUCAGAAGAGCUUGAGGAACGUAGUAGAUUAUGGCGCCAUAAGGAUUCUUUCCAAGUAUUGAGGAAAAAGAAUGUAAGAAACAUGCCUUUUAUGUCUAUAUAUGUCUUUCUUCUUGUGAAAAUUAUGCAUAUUAAUGUCUUUUUUUUUUCCUUUAGGGUACAAAAAAAAUCCAAGGUCUUGUCCUGGAUAUGCGUAAUCAUUCUGCAAACAGUCCAAUAAACACAAAUGAGAUAGUCUUGGAAACCAAUGCAUUUGCAAGGAUGUGCAAUUUACAACUACUCCAUCUUAGUCAUGUACGACUGGAUGGAUGUUAUGCAGAUUUCCCUACAGGAUUAAGAUGGUUGUGUUGGCUUGAAUUUCCUUUGGAUUCUAUACCAAUUGAUUUUCCUUUGGAGAACGUAAUUGUUCUGGAAAUGCAAUACAGUAGCUUGAGACAAGUAUGCAAAGGAACAAAAGUAUGUUACUCUAUGCAUUUCAAUUCAUUUUCCUUAUUUUGUUAGUUUUUUAUUUGUUGACUAACUUCGUGUGUUAAAAUGAACUACUAUGUUUUCUUUAAUUCAAUGACUAAUUUCUUAUAUUAGAUACUUAUUUCAUUGUUAUUUUUUCUUCUUUUUUUUCCCUCUGUUUCCACAGUUUCUUCCAUCGUUGAAGAUCCUUGACGUCAGCCAUUCUCAUGGCCUUAGUGAAACCAUUGACUUCUCACUUUUCCCCAAUCUAGAGGAACUGAUUCUUGUAGAUUGCACAAGCCUGAAGAAUGUUCAUGAAUCCAUUGGAAGCUUGGAGAGACUCGUGUACUUGAAUAUAAAGGAUUGCAAGAAUCUUAGGAAGCUUCCGAAGAACAUGUGCAUGCUUAAGGCCCCGUUUGGGAUUGAGGUGAUUUUAAAAAAAGCCACUGUCAAAAAAAGCUGAGGAUCAUUUUUGUGUUUGGUAAACUGAAAAAAAAGGGCUUAUUUUGGAAGCUGCUGUGAGAAUAAGCUGAAAAUCAAAGAAAAAGCUGAAGCUGCUAUUUGCUGCUUUGAAAAAAAGCCAGUUUUUUCAAAGCACACGGAGCUACAGUGCUCCUUUAAUGAAAAGACACACUAUCAUCCUGCUUUUUUUUCCAAAAGCACUUUCACAAAAAAGUUUACCAAACACUCUACUGGCUUUAUUUCACAGCCGCUUAUUCUCACAGCACAGCUGCUUAUUCUUACAGCAGCUUUUUUUCAAAGCACAGCAAUACCAAACCAGCCCUAAAUCACUUGAACACUCAUUUUAUCUGGUUGCUCAAAUCUUGAUGAGUUUCCAAUGGAGAUGAUGAAGAUGGAGUCUCUGAAAGUUCUUGAGACAGAUGGACUUCCAAUAGGUAAAUUGUGGCCAGAAAGAAGUUCAACUAUCUUGAGUUCUUUUCCAUGCUCUUUAGUAGAGUUAAGUCUGAAGGGGUGCAAUCUUUCUGAUGAUGUCCUUCCUACGGAUUUAAGUAAUCUAUCCAAUUUGCAGUCUGCCAGUUUUCAUCAAAGGUUUGAGGAAGAUCGAUGAACUCUCUUUCAAGGGUUGUGAUAGGCUCGAAUCGCUUGUGGGGUUGCCGGAAGUACACCAAUGGCUAAGUAUAGCCGGAUGCAUAUCAUUAAAAAAAAUAACUUUUCAUUCCCCUGAGCAACCGUAUCUAGUACGUGGGGGUGACAACUCGAAUAACUGUAAUUGCUGUUACAAGUUACAGCCUUUUGAUAGAGUUGAUGUGAAAAUGAUCAAACUUAUGGGCUUGUGCAACUUUGAAUCCAUGCCAGCUGUUCAAAUGCGUAAUUCAUACACAUACAGGGAUCCAAAAGAGGUCCCCGUCCAGGUGCGCCUCUCUUUCUCUCUCUCAUAAGUCUUAAAUAUAUAAUGGGAAAGAAAUUACUGAGUAAUGUUGUGAUGACUGUGGCAAAUACAUAGGGACUGUAUCAAUUUGGUGUAUUCAGCACUUUUUUUGUUGGGAAUGAGGUUCCAGGCCGGUUCAGCUAUAAAAGUACGAAGUAUUCGAUAUCUUUUAUUGUCCCUUUACUACUUGCUAGUCACAGAAUUCGAGGCUUGAACAUCUUUGCUACCUAUGCAAAGGAAAAUUCAAAUAAUUAUUCUACUGGACCUAUUAUUGUUCCAAUAAUGAUCAAAGUGAGAAACAAGAGCAAGGGUUUGAAGUGGAUCUAUUGCCCAUUAUCCUAUGGAAUCCCAGGUGACGGAGAAGAUAUGAUAUGGUUGAGCCAUUGGAAGAUGGAGAAUAAUACAAUAUUACAAUGUGGAGAUGAAGUGGUGGUUUCGGUAAUAACCGGACCACGUGACUUGUUUUUGGUAAAGGAGUUUGGUGUCGAGCUUGUGCAAGAGCACCAAGACAAGAUGAGUACCCAACACAACACCAAAUCAGAUCCUAAUUAUCCAUUUGUUAUCGGUGGAGAUUUGAAGACGUGGAAGUGCAAACCAGGAAUAUACUUCCUUAGCUGUAGGAGACGAGAAGAUACUGACGACAUUGAUAUCCUCACCAUGGACUCUGAUGAAGAAGACACAAGUAUGUUGUGUUGUUGUAUAGCAUUGAAUUAUACUCCAUCCAAACACUUCCGGGUGUGUCCGUAUUCAUUUCAAAAACAUUUCCAAUAAAUUUUAUGUUAUUUGUAUGUUUUUCAGACAAAGAAGGGCAAGAGGAUGAACCUGAUUACACAAUUGCAAAGACGAUGGCAGCUAGCAAUAACUGCAGCCUAAGAGGAUGGAAGGUGCGCCUCACAGCUGUCGGCUUCUUUUUCGCGCUUGCUCUAGUUGGUUGGUCCUCCAUCUCGCAAAAAAAGAAGCGACACUCGUCCACAAGCCCACCAUGAGUUUGUAAUUUGACUUGAUAUAGAUAUAUCUUUGCAUUCCUUGCUCUCAAGAUGUUUUCUACCUUCGAAACUUCAAGUUUAGAGCUAAGCACUUUAACCGCUUGAGAUAUAAAAGCCCCUUGCAACUAGAUACCGAAGUUCAAAUGUGUUCAACGCCAUCAAAUAUAGCAUAAAAUACAUCCAGCAUUAGCGAUACUAGCAUAGUAGCAGUAAAUAAGUAAAACCAAAAAAUGCUUCCACACAUGGUAAGGGAAGGACUUUACAUAGGAAUCUUUAGCAAUAACGGGCAAGAUUUUUUUGUUUUUGGGAGGAGGUGGAUUAUUUCGGCACCGGGGAAAACAAAAACAUCCCAUCUUAGUUGUCGUUUACAACAAAAUCAUUCUUAAAGACUCGGCUCCCCAUUGAAAUUGUGUAAAUUGCAUAAAUAUCAAUACAACAGAUAUUAAAUAGAAUAAUAUAUAUCAAAUAAAUUAACGACAAGCAAUUUCUUAGCCUGAGAUCCAAGGACUUUACAGCUGGUUCAGCCUUGCAUUCGCUACUACAUUACAGAAGCUGGUUUCUGCUUCUUCAACCUGAACAAAUUAUUGAGGUCAGGAAGUAUAAGAGGAACGACCAUAGUCUCUGGAGCCAUGAAAUUUACUAUCUUCUUUUGGGCAUUGUACCUGCAAAAGCAUAAUGCAAUAAGCAUUCAACAAUCUGACCUAGUUUUCUCAACAGAUACUCCAAGAUAUUCCAAAACAAAGUCACAGCAAUUUCACAUAGGGAACCGAAGAAUCAUGUUCGUCCACUCUACACAUCCAAAGCAGCAAACUAACAAUUUCACAUAGGAUACCAGGUUGGGAGGAUACAAUCAUUAACAAUUUCAAAAGCUUUAAAUGCAAUCUGAAUACAUGGCAAGUAGGGGUAAACAUGUGAACAGAAAAAAUCAGUGAACAUAAUCAAAUCCAAUACGUCAAUUUUGGCCUAGAUUGAAAUGAAAAAAAAACAAGGAAAUGCUUUGUUGUUUUUGAAGGAAAUAAAACCUAUUUCAUGGAAAUAAAACCUGUGGUUACCUUUGUCUUCCUUUGCCAUUUGUCUAUCGAUUUGUUUCUGAAAGUGGCUAUUCUACAAGAUACAGCAUGACAGGUCCUAGUUAGACCAAGCAACCGGCAUGGAAAUGCUUUCUGAAGCAAGAAUCUGAACUCAAGAGCUUUGUGCCAGAGAGACUUCAGAAAAAUGAAAAAAAACAACAUAGAAUAUGGGUAAGAAUAAACAUCGAUCAAACAAUAAUUCACUGUAUAAAACAUUUUUUCAACUUUAAAGUGUGGCUUAAAAAGAAGCUUUAAACAAGUAGCAAUAAUUUCAUAUUGAAAAAUAAAACCUGGAUAUUACAAGAGCCAUUAUUUUGAAAGACACACCUUUUGGUUCUUCACUACUUGACUUUUAAGAAGAUCUUCGUCCUUGUCACGAUUCAGAUUCUUUAAAAUAUCUCUGCGAUGGAAUAAACAAAACCAAUCUAGGCCAAAAUUGACUUAUUCGAUUUGAUUAUGUUCACUGAUUUUUCUAUUCACAUGUUUACCCCUUACUUGCCAUAUGGUUUUGGGGUGUUAGUGCAUAGUGCUCUUCUCUUUACACACCUGUUUCAUUUGUAUUCGUUGUAAAUUAAGAGACCGUUUGAUAAUCAUUUCGUUUUCAAUUUAAAAAAUAUAAAAAACUAAAUAAAGUUUUCUAAAUUUGACCUAGAAUUUUUCGCUUUUGGUUUUUAAUUUUUUUUUUUAACAACUGAAAACUAAAAAUAGUUACAAAUUUUUUUUUCAGUUUUUAAUUUACAAAAAAGUAAAAACUGAAAACUCUAAACUAUAGACUAAAAAUUAAAAAGUGAAAUCGAAAUGGGCUCUCAACAAAAUUGAAAAAAGACUGGGCUGAAUUACUGAAUUCAAAGCAGGGCUUAUUAACGCUACGAGGCCCAAUGGAUCUGUAUAAAUAUUUUUUGUUUUUUUUUAACAAACGAUAUUAUCUAUAUGGGCUUAACCUUACAAUAGGCUAACAAUAAUGUGGUUCAAAUUUAUUUUUGACGAGAAUCGAACCUAAAACUUCUCGCUUACAAAUGAAGAGGAAUACCACUAAAUCAUAGUCCUGAUAUUUUAUUUAAUAUUUUAAGAAAAAAGAAAGAAAGCAAUGAAAAGCUGUACAUAAACUAAAUACAAAAAGGAAUGAAAUGAAGAAGAGUGGGAGACUAACGUUUAAUUCAAGAUAAAGAAAGAAAGGUAAUCGCACCCCGACGGCGGCGACGUGGCGGUCAUUUAACGGAAAAUAACAGACAAAUCAGCCUCCAGAUCAAGUCUUGAAGCACAACUCUGAAAAAUCGACACUACCUACAGCUGAGCUCCGACCAACCGUUGAUGGAUGCAAUCCGGAAGCUCAGAGAUCAAGUCGCCAAGCAACAGCAGGUACUCUCUCUCUUGUUUGAUUCCGAAUUUGUAUUUCUGUAUGGAUUAUGAUAUGAACAUAAUCUGCGUUGAUUGCGAGAUACUAAGAUUGCUUAAUGAAAUAAUAUUUAUAUAAUUGUUCAAAUUGAAUUGGAUCGAAUUCGAAUAGAUUUUUCACUAUUUCUGAGCUGUUUGGGGCUGUGUUGGAGUGUAUUGUUGCUGAAUUUCUGAAAUUUUGAAUCUAGCAAACACCAGUUCUUUUUGUUUGAACAUCGAUCCACAUCAAUGGCUCUUGUGAGAACAUCUCCAGGAACCUCCUCUGAUUCCAACACUUUUCGGAGUUAUCGCUACGACGUGUUCUUGAGCUUCAGAGGCGAAGAUACUCGCAAGACUUUUACCGACCACCUCUACACAGCCUUGAACAACGCAGGAUUUCUUACGUUCCGAGACGACGAUGAACUUGAGAGAGGGGAAGAUAUAAAGCCAGGACUGCAGAAAGCGAUCCAGCAGUCACGAACUUCUGUUGUCGUGUUUUCGAAAGAUUACGCUUCAUCCAAGUGGUGUCUUGAUGAGCUUGUGCUGAUCCUUGAACGCAAGAGGACCACCUCGGACCAUGUAGUUUUACCAGUCUUCUACGAUGUCGAUCCGUCCCACGUGAGGAAGCAGACAGGAAGUGUUGGAAAAGCAUUUGCUA
rnacentral:lncRNA from 1 species